rnacentral:lncRNA from 1 species
AAAGAGUUUUGUUGAAGCAUGGAGAUUCCGGCGAGAGUAUCUGACACACGCCCACCUGAAUCUGACCCAUAACGACGAAAAUGUCACUGUUACUCUCGCUUACAUGCCCGUUGGGAAUCACUCGCUAGAUCAUCCAAGCGACCUUGAUUUUCAGCCUCCCUUUCCUGCUAAUCUUACCCACACUGAACCCGAACCAAAACCGGAACCGGUACGGGAGCCGGAACCGGAACCGGUACAGGAAUCGGAACCGGUACAGGAACCGGAACCAGCCUUUGUCCUCGGUUCAUCUGAAUCGUAUCAGAAUCUGACCCAGCCCAGUUGGAUUUCCGUUGAGUUGGAACCGAAUUUGACGUCGAAUCUCCUUGCCCGGUGGCUAGCUCCAGGAGGUGAGCCGUGUAGAGAUAUACGUAGCGUGGAGAUUGCUAUUCCCGGUUUGGAUGGUCGACAAUCUAUUGAGCUAUCCGCCGCAGAAGUCCACGAGUUUGUUUUUCAUGCAUUGGAUGAUGCCGGAAAACCCCUUUGUUUGGGUGGCGAUUACUUUGAAACUGAUCUUUCUGGCGAGAUAUGGAAGUCUCGGCCGGUGGUUAAGGAUUUCGGCAAUGGUUCAUACUCUUUGUCGCUUCAAGUACAUCCUGAUUUUGCCGGAAAUUACAAUCUCAGCAUAACCCUCCUUUUCCGGCAUUUCGAGGGUCUCAAAUUGUCGCCGGGGCGAUUCGCCUACGACAGAGAGCUUCGUAGGAUUCCGAUCAAGUUCUACAACACCACAGCUCAGUUGCCGGAACUGCAAACAUGUCGAAAAUCGGACUUCACUCGAGAAGUCUGGUCCGGAAGAUGGACGCGGCACGGUAGGAACGAUGAUUGCCAGAUCAGCAACGAUGGCCGUUACCGGUGUCUACCGUGGAACUUCCCGUGCCGGAAUCCUUGGUGCGACGGCUCAUUGGGAAUGUUGGAGAGCAAUGGGUGGGUCUACUCUGCACAUUGUUCAUUCAGAUUGUUCUCGGCUCAUUCCGCUUGGAACUGCUUGAAGAAUCGAUGGAUUUUCUUCUGGGGCGAUUCGAAUCACGUCGACACCAUCCGAAACAUAUUGAACUUCAUCCUCAAUCUGCCCACUGAAUCGGUUCCGAGACGUUUCGACAUGAAUUUCACGAAUCCGAAAAACCCCUCCCAGACCGUUCGCAUUACCAGCAUUUUCAAUGGGCACUGGAACGAAACCCUGAACUACCAGGGCUUGAACUCUCUCAAAAACGACGCCUUUCGAGACCUGUUGAAGAGAUAUUUCAACGAGAGUACGGUGCCUGACACUAUCAUCAUGAACUCAGGCCUACACGACGGCAUUUAUUGGCAUAAUCUUAGGGGUUUCACUGUUGGUGCGAGAGAUGCGGCGUCCUUCUGGGCCGAAAUCUUGGAGUCGAUCAGACUUAGGGGGCUGGUGCCGCCCAAGGUCAUAUACCGAACCACCGUAGCGACCGGGGGUUACGCGCGGACGAUGGCCUUCAAUCCCAGCAAGAUGGAGGCGUUCAAUGGGGUUGUGUUGGACAACUUGAAGACCGCCGGCCUACUCUCCGGCGUCAUCGACGAUUUCGACAUGACAUUCCCCUGGCACUUCGACAACCGGUGUAACGACGGCGUUCAUUACGGCCGGAAGCCGGCGAAGAUGAAGUGGAGGGACGGCCAGAUCGGCCACCAGUACUUCGUCGACAUAAUGCUGGCGCACGUGCUGCUGAACGCGCUCUGCGCAAGCUAGCACGAAAAGGGAAGCUGAUGCUAAGACGCGCCAGGGCGACACUUUCUCCAUCCGUUAUGUUCACUCAAAUCAGGAAGACUUCCCACGUGCAGCAUUGGGCCGCGCCCCCGAUCCAGAAUGCCCUGCUCUAAUGCGACAACAUAGUUGCGGUGGCCUUUGGCCUCCCCGCUUUACACUCCACACUUAUUUUGACAUUUGUUGAUUUUUUAUUUGUGAUUAUUGAUAUAAUUUUUGUCAAGUUUAUGUCCAUGACUUCUCCUUAGACCAUAUAUAUAUAUAUAUAUGUGUAGAUAAUUUUUUCCUAUAGUAAGAUGUAUUUGUAUUUCCUGAAUUAUAAACGCUACCAAAUGAUAAUUAGAAUUGAAAAGUCACCUCAUUUGUUCUAUGAUUCCAUCCGUUAAAUAUUUUAACUUAAAUCAAUUUUGUUACAUUUUAUUGAUGUUGAAAGUCAAACUGUUUGAUCAGCUUAUCGGGUUGAAAGUUAUAACAUGUCAUAAUUUUUAUUCACGAGUUUAUUCUUAUUAUAUAUUUAAUUCUUUCAUACACGUGCGUAUGCAUAGUUAUAAGAUUGAAAUCGGAAUGUCUUCUCUCUUUUUAUAAGAUUGGAACGGAUUAACCAUUAAGCAACUUUACAAAACAAUAUGUUAAUCAAUAAUUUUAAUUUGUGGUGCAAUGUCUCUUAGAUUUGGACAUUUGGAGAUGAAGGUCUCCACAAUUCUCUUCUUGUUAGCUGGGAUUAAUCAGAUAAAGUAAUUAAUUAUAGAACAAGAGUCUUUAACUUUGUGAAAUUGUCGUUUAGCAUAUAAAGUAUAUGCAAGCUGUCAUGCGCUAUGAGGAAGAAUUAUUAGGACUUAAUCACAUUCCAUCUUUUCAAUAAAUAAUAAAUAUGGGGCAACGACAUUUUCACUUUUAGCUUUUCUCCUUUUUUAUAAUGAUAGUCCGGCAAUUUCCCUGAAAUGGGGUGAGUAUAGAAUUCUAUUUUAUAUUCAUACUUAAUUUAAUUAAAAAAAAUUGACAAGUAGUCAUGGGUUUAUUUACUAACUGAAAAACAUUUCUAAAAAACAGUUUUUAAAAAUUAUUUUAUGAUUUUUAAUUUUUUAUAGAACAAAAUUCUAUUUAAAAGCCUAAAUUUUUUUUAACAUGUUUUAAAUAUUUUAAAAAUAACUUUUAUAUCUAAUAUUUUAUUUUAAAUAUAUUUUUAAAUGAUAAUAGAAAAACAAAUAAAAAGAAUUUUUAGUUAUUAAAUCGUGUUUUUUUUUUAUGUUUUUUUGUUUUAAAGAGUAAAAAACUAUUCCAAACAAGCCCUACUCUUAUUUUUUUUCUUUUUAAGAGAACGUGUAUAGAAAGUUUUAAAUUUAUAAUAAAUAUAAAUAUAUUACAUGUCAAUGAAAAUAAUUAACAUAUCUUUUUUAGCAUAACAAAAUAUUCUAAUAUAAAAAUAUUCAAACAAAAUUGCCAAUGGUAAAUCGUUCUCCUUUAAACAGAAACAACAUAUGGAACUUUUUAAUGGAAAUUUUAUUUUAAAAUAUUAAUAAAAAGGGUUAUUCAAAAACAAUAUCUAUAAAAAAAAAAAUAUAACACUUUUGGUAUACUCCGUUCUGUCCUUCUUCUCUAUUCUUUCCCGAAAAGCCUUCACUUUUUUCAUAUUGAGUUCAUCUUUUUAAAAAAUAAUUCUUUUUUUUUUUUAACUCGUUUUUUUAAAAAAUGAGUUCAUUUUUGUUUUUACGUUGAACUCAUAUUUUCAAAAGACAAGCUCCACUGUAAUCCAACUUGUAGAAUUUUGUGUUUUUUUUUUUUUUUUUUUUUUUUCAAUUGUUGUGCUUGUGCAAAUUGUUGGGUUUGGUCAUUUAAUUUGAGUUCGGAUUGAGCCCAUAUAGAGUUGGGUUGGGCCCCAGUUUCUAUUGCGGUUGGGGCCUAAAAUUCUUAUUGGGCUCGUCCGAUCCCCAAUCGUGGCUGUGUCCUGUCUAUAGGGGUUUCUCAAGUAGGAGUAUCCUUUCAAACAUUUUUGUGGUUGUUUGUAAUGGUGUCUAGUCAUUGGCACAGGGAUAUUGAAUUAGGAAGCCAAUAUUUAAGGAUUUAUUUUUAUAUUUUAUAUUAAACAAGAAAAAUAAAUGCUGACACCUUUUAAGUAAGGCCCAACAAAAAACAAAGAGCAAAGGGCAUUAAUGUUCAUAUUUAAAUCAAUAAGAAAUCGAAAUUAAAUUAAAAUGAUUUGUUUUUUUUAAGGGAAAUUAUAUAAAAAUAUAUAGUAUAAACAAUACAAAAAAUUGUAGGCAUAUUUGAUAAAUAAAUUGAAAGUUUGUGUUUUAUGAUAUUACUCUUAAUAAAGCUCGAUCUUAGCAUUAUUGAAUUUUCUUCCCUAUCACUCCUAAUCCUUGUGAUAGGUAGCUCUUUCUCUUUUUGUGCUCUAAUGAAUUAGUCUUAAUAUGAUUUAUAGUUUUGAAGUUUUUUCUAAGGAAUGGGACAAAAGUAUUUCUAUAAUCAUCUACCAUAACAAAGACAUACUUCUUACUAUAUAUGUUAUCCUACACAUAAGACCCACAAGCCCCAUAUGUAAUAGAUUAGGUGCCCUAGAAGUCCUAAUGUCUUCAAUUAUGUGAUCCUUUCACUUGCUUAUUCAUUCAUGUGCCAUAAAUUGAGUUAUUAGGAGCACUUAACCUAGGGACGCCUCAAAAUAGUUUCUAAUGACCAUGUUGACUAAAUCCUAAAAGUUUAUUUGUCCUAACUUCUUAUAUCAUACAAUAUACCAUGUCCGACUUUAGCAGCAAUACAAGCCAAGGGAGAACUUGGACCAAAAUUAAUUACAUAACAAUUAUUUAUACUUCUAUAUCUAAUGUAAACACUCCUCAUUUUCAUCUAAGAUCUUACAUUUAUUUUAGAAAACUUGACACCAUGAUUACUAGCACAAAUCCAACACUAAUUAGACUAGAUUUCAAGCCUUCAUCAUAAGAAUUUAAUUGAAUUUAAGAUACCUGAGAAACCAAGGUUUGGUUAAUCUCAGUUUUGAUGAUAACAAAAAAAGAUUUAGAAUUAAUGAUUAUAUUUCAAGUGUGAUUAGGCAAGACGAUUUCUAAAGUGACAAUCACAAAGACAAUUCAAGCCAAUGAGAAAUCAUGAAGAAGAAGAUCACCUCAAAGAGAAGUAUUUUUCAAGACCCAAACUUUAAAAAAUCUCUUUGUAAGGUUGUUGGUACACUAGGAUUUUCAUGCAUUAUAUUCUUUACUUAUGCACCAAAAUCAUCCAAUAGUUAUUUUGUUUUAAAUAUUUUAAAAAUUGGAUUAUUUUAUGUUUCAACUAAAACCUUAUGUCAAAUGUCUUUCCAACUUGUUUUAAAGGUUUUAAGUUGAAAAAACUAGUUUUUUUAGCCAAAAAUUGUUCAAUCAGUUGAACCGGAUGAGAAAUCGGUCGACCGCCAGCUCAACCGGUCAAGGGUAUGAACAGUAACUAGUCGACCCCCCAGCUCAACCGGUCAAAGUUGAACCUUAACUGAUCGAGGUCCGGUCAAGGUCCAACGGUCACUUGCCAAGCAUUAAAUGCUAACGGCUAGUCAACCGAUCGACCCCCAACUCGACCAGUCGGACCCCCAACUCGACCGGUCGGACCCCCAACGCUAGUUUGACUUUUUUCUUCUAUAAAAAGGCUCUAAUCUUCAUUGUUUCAUGAGCUCAACCUUCCCAAACCUUCCCAAACUUUUCUUGAAUAUAUUUGAACCUUAGAAGAGUGUUUUUUAGUGUACCAUUGUUCUAAAACUUGCAUAUCCUUAGUGCACCAUUCAAUCCUAGUUUUCUUGUAUCAUUUAAGCUUAAAGUUUUUGUAUUACGAUUUUGUGAAAUCAUUUAUUUGUAUAUCUUUGAGAGGAAGAUUUUCAAGUGUGGGGUAUCACUUGAGAGGUUAUUCAAGAGUGAAGUAUCUCUUGAGGAUUGUAAAGGGUGCUUAGAACCAAAAGUCCAAAAGGAUGGAUUGGAACCAUAAUCCAAUUGUAUUGCUUGAAGGCUUGGUUUGGAAGCCUUGAAGUAGUGGAACCUCAAGUUUAGGAUUGAAGCUAGAGGAAAGUGGAUGUAGGUCAGAUUGCGCUGAACCACUAUAAAAUCUUGUGUUUGCAUUCCCUUUUCCGUACUCUUUUAAUUUAUAUGCAAUUGUUUUUAUAUUAUUUAUUAUAUACUUGCAUAUAAUUGUCUCCUACAUUCAUAUAGUUUAAAUUUGCAAAAAAAGACCAUCACCCUAUUCACCUCCCUUUUAAGGUGAUUACCAUAUGUUAGAUUGAUCUAAUUUUUCUAACAAUACCCUAGAAUACAUAUAGUGUAAAAGUGACUUAUCCCAUAUUGUUGCUUAGAACACCCAUUAUCAAAAUACAAAUUACUAAGUGUUCUGACCCUAAGUGUAGUGAGUACUAUAUUACACCUAAGUCGAUCUUUCCUAACUCAAACCUGACUAAUAUUCAAAGACCUUUUUACUUAACUUUUCCUACUUUCUAGACUUAAGUGGAAGACUUAUUACUUUUCUUUGUGUUCAAGAUAUAGUUCUAAAGAAAAAAUUGAAACCUAUUGAAAAGCUUGUUAUAUUACCUACUUUGGUCAUGUCCAAACUUAUUAAAAGACCUAGUGAUAGAGAGUGUUUCCACAAAAAAGAGCUACUUCAUUGGCUUUUUAUAAGGGUUGUUUACCUACUAGUGGCAGUAUCCACCUUAGUAAUAAUGCCAUAUUUGUUUUUGGUUGAUUUCCCAUUUUUUAAUGAUUUCAUUGAGGAUUUUAGAGUUGGAUGAAAUCUCUCAUUAGUACUUGUCAUGUCCUUCCCAAUAUUUUCCAAUUCAAAUGUUAAAAUAUUAUUUUUAUCAACUAUCGUAUUAUGUUAUAUAUAUAUAUAUAUUAAGGUGUCUACUCAUUAAGUGGAUUAGCAUUUUCAUUUUUUAGUGCAUCAUUAAAUUCUUUAAUUUUUAUUGCCUUCCUACUCAUUUUAAUACUUCCAUCUUUGAUUUUUAGGCUUUCUUGCAUUAUAGGCAACAUGAAUAUUAUAUAAAAAAAGAAAAAGGAAAAAAUCAAACUUAUUUUUAUCAUUUUGAUUAAUUUUCUUAGAAGGAUCAUAAUUAGAAUUAGUAAUAAAUGCAGCAAAUACAACCAAAUUAUUUUUGUCUUUGCUUUCAUAAGAGUCAUAUAACUCAUGAUCAUCAACCUCAUUACCACUCCAAGUCACUUGCCUGACUUUCUCGCUACCUUACAAUUAAAACAUUCAAUUCUUUUGUUUUUAGAUGAAUCCUUCUCUUUUUCCCUUAGCCUAGUGUGGUUUUUUUUUUCGAGUCCUAAUUUUGUGAUAAUUUUUUGUGAGCUUGUAUUGUUUUCUUAAACUUUUUAUUAAAAAAAAAAAAGGUUUAGAAAAAGUUAAACAUUAUUAAUUUGAUUCCUCAUAAUUAUUACCUUCCUCCAAUAAAGCUUUAGCGUCGUACCCUUAGACUUCUAGAAUUAGGUAGGGAUAUUUCAUAACUUCAAAGGAAUCUCACAAGUUCAUCAACUCUUAUAAAGUCAAUAUCUUUUAUUUUCCUCUAUCAUAGUUACAUUAGGUCCAAAUUUCUCAAAGAGAAAUCUAAGGAUUCCCCUAACUACCGUAAAUUUAGGAAUCUUCUCAUCUAGAUUGAAACUUGUAUUAGCAAUAUUACGUAACUCGACAUAGUUUUUUACUUUUUUUUAAAUGUUUUUGUUUGUAUUAUGAUAUUUUCAAACUUAGUUGGCAACAUUUUGGAUUAUGGAGAACUUUAUAGUAGAAGUGCCCUCAUGAGUAACAAAUAAUAUAUCUCAAGCUUUUUUAGCGCACAUUUAUAUAUCAUUGUCUUGUGGAUUUCAUUAGGACUCGCACUAUUAAAAAGCUAUAGAGAGUAUAACGUUUACCUCAUUGUUUUCGUUAUUAAGUUUAUUGCCUCCUCAUUUGAGCUUACAUUCACCAAUGGAUCUUCUAGUCCAAUUUAACUUUAAUGGAGGUCCUCAUCCAAAUACAACACAAUUUAAAAAUUGUUUACUUUACACUUUGAAAAAAAAAUAAAAAAUUAUGAUUCCACGUAGAGAAAAUAAGGGGUGGAUAGGUGUAUAUUGAUUUUUUUAAUCUUAAAAUUUAAUUUUCGAUCAAAUAUGAAUUACUUUGAUCAUAUUGUGAUAUAUAGGAAUAAAAAUAAAAAUCCAAUUAUACAUAUGAUGCACAAUGUACAUGCAAAACCAUCUAUAGGGUCUAUUAAAAACUCUCCAUAUAUAUAUAAAAAAAUGUGGGUCUAAUAGAUUUUAAAGAAAAUUCACUAAUUUUAAAUGAACAAACAUACAAAUGUACUUGGAUCAAAUGUUAUCUUCCAUCAAGGGUCUUAUAAUGUCCUAUAUCUACACUUAUCUUUACAUCAUUGAUACAACACCUUGCACUCUUUAAUGAAUGGUCGUUGACCACAAUUUUAUCUCAAAAAAUGAGUCUGACUUUUUAGAGUGUCCGAGGUUAUGUGAAAGAAUAAUGACAAUAACAAUUUAAGACAUAUGCAUUUUUCAACAUUAUUAGGUUUAUAUAGUGAACCAUAUAUAAUUGGGUUUCAUAACAUAUUUUUAAAACAUGAAAAUCUAAAAAAUAUAAAUAAAAGUACGAAAAUUACCUGAAUGUUUGAGCUCUCACGAGAGCCACUUAAGCACUCCCGUGAAAUUCUCCCUUUAAUAAAAAUAAAUCAUCAUUUCUUUGGAAUAUUAUUUAUGAAUUAGUGAAAAAACAUCAACGAUCCUCUAAUAACAUUUAUAAGAAUUAGAUCUAUUAUGUAAAUAAAUGAUGAAUAAAAAAGAAUUACCUACUUUUCUUCUAUUUUUUAUUCAUAUAAGAAACUAAAUAAGAAGCAUGCACACAACCAACAUUGAUAAUCUCACACUUUGAAAUGAAAUAUUUACUUAUCAAAUAAAUGCAACUUUAAAUUUAUGUCCAUAAAUUAUUUUUCCAUUUUUAAGAAGAUGUUAAAAAUUUUUGAAGCACAUCUUGGACGGGCUUUGAAACUUUCCUUUACAGUUUGGAUUGCCUUAGAAAAGUGUCAAUCCUAACAAAAUUAGUGUUGGACUUGGAUUCAAAUUUAGUCAACUUGAUUUCCUUCUACAUUUUUUUAAUGCUUGCUUUGGAAAUUGCUUGGAAGUGUCAUAUAAUUUUGCCUAAUCAUAUUUUUUAUUUUUGUUUUAUAUAAAGUUUUUAAUUCAUUAGUCAUUCAAUGUAAGUUGAUAAUACAUUGAUUUAAAAUGAUUAAUAGUUUAAUAGUCAAUUUUUUUAUUACAUUUUUUUUAAUUCAACAAAACAUGAGUUAUCUCGAUUACAUGACCUACUCAAACCUAUCAACUAGGCCCCUAUAAUAAUAAAUUAAGUUUUUUAAAAAUAAUUUUUAUGUUUUUGUUUUUUCGUGAGAAGUUAGAUUUAAUUUGAUAACUAUUUUUUGAAAAACAAUUCUAAAAAUUAGUUUUUACAAACAAUUUUUUAAACUGUUUUUUGAUUGAAAUAUUUUUAACCUAUUUUUAAAAUUUUUAAAAAUAAUUUUUAUGUACAGAACUUUAUUUUUAAUAAUUUCUCAAAAAAUAAGUAAAAAUAACUAAAAUUUAUUAUUUAAAAAAUAUCUCAUUUUAUAUUUUUAAGAAUAAAAAUAAAAACAAUUUUCUAGUCUGUCAAAAUCGUUUUUUGUUUUUCAAAAAAAAAAAAAAAACAAAGAAACAUGUAUGGUAACUAGAAAACUGUUUUUUGUUUUUUAUUUUUAAUAAUAUAAAUAAAGUGUUUUUAAAUAAUAUUUUUUUAUGUUAUUUUCACUUAUUUUUUUAUAAUUAUUUUUAAAAAUAGCUAUAUAAACAAAUAAAAUUAUUAAAAAUAAAACACUAAAUAUAAAAAUUAUAUUUAAAAAUAUUUUACGUUAUCAAAUAAAUUUUUGUUUUACAAAAUAUUAUAAAAUAGUUUUCAAUAAUUAUUGAAAAUUCUCAAGAACUAUUUUUCUGAAAUAUUUUUGAAAGCAGGUAGAGUGUAAGUUUCAUAAUCUUAAAUGAAUUAAAAAGGGAAAAAAAUUACUAUUUUAUUUUAUUUUAUUAUUAAAUAAAUUUAAAUGGAGUCUAGAAAACGAAUUUACAUUACAAUUGGGUUAAAUGCUGGACCGAGCUACGAUUGGAUAGUGAGCCUUCGUAUUCAAGUUAAGCAAAGUCACACGCUAUUGAUAGAAAAACUUAUGCACGAAAGAUACUUUUUUUUUUCUUUAAAAAUAAAUAAAUAAGUAAAAUCUGAUCACAUGUUUCCCAAAUUGUUCCGGAAACGUUUCCUAAUAAUAAAUCAUUUUUAAAAAGCUAUUUUCGCUAUUGAUAGAAAAACUUAUGCACGAAAGAUACUUUUUUUUUCUUUAAAAAUAAAAAAAAUUAAAAUUUAAAAAGUAAAAUCUGAUCACAUGUUUCCCAAAUUGUUUCGGAAACGUUUCCUAAUAAUAAAUCAUUUUUUAAAAGCUAUUUUUUUGACUCAAAAGAUAUAAAAAUGUGUUUGAAAAUUUCAAAAAUGUUUCCAUCCGAGUAUUUGCGAUUUUUUUAUGGAUAGAAACAAUAUUAUGGUAAGUUCCAAAAAUGACCCCACUUUUAAAAUGUUUCUACAAGACUGAAACCAUUAAUUAAUUAAUUUUAUAUUUUUUCCAUUUUGAAAAGAGGAUAUUACACUUCUCUCCCUGAGAUUUGGUUUACCUAUUUGGGCGCCUAAGGUUGAAGACAUUAAACUCGCUUUCCUCGAAGUUUGCCGUUUGACCCCAGACCCCAUCACAUGUUAUUUAUUUAUUAUUAUUCUCUUUUUAUUUUUUUCUAUGAUAAAUAAUUUUUUAUUUUAUUUUGGAUUUUAGCUUGGAACCGAUAAUUUCAAGACAUCAAUAAGUGAUAGAAUUAUGACUUGUAUGUGAAGCUAUUUGAAGUGAUAAUUUCAAAAUAGUGAUGAGAUAUGUUAUCUGGAUAAAUAUUUUUAUCGAUAUCUUAAUUUCAAAGGUGUAAUAAGGAAUACUCUCCCCACUUGUAUCAUAAGUUAAUUUUGAUGUAACAUCAUGUAUAUCUUUCGAUGGAUGUGGUGGACCCUUUCUUUAAAAAAAAAAAAAAAUCAUUUGCUUUUAUUUAUUUAUUUUUAGUGUUACUUUUCAAUUUUUAUAAAAAAAAAAUUAAGAUAAGUAUUUGAUAAAAUUUAAUACUUAUUAAUUAAUAACUUAAGUUUAUUUUAAAUUAAAAUAUAUUUAAAUUGUUAACUUAAAACUUAUUACUUAAUUAUUACUUUAAGUAUUAGAGUUAUUUGAUAAAAUUUAUUAUAAAUUAUCAAAUUUUCACAUUUAUCAUCAUAAAUUAUAAUUAAGAUAAAGAAAGUUCAGUAACAAUGAAAGUGGUAGAGUAAUAAAAGAUUAUGUAUAAGUAACUAUAGUAAAUGGAGAUUAAAAAAAAAAAGAAUAAAAUGAAUAUGUGAAUUUAAAAAUAAGUUAAUUAUUUUUAUUUUUUUAUUUAAAUUUUAUUUUUUAUUUUAAUCAUAUUGUUAUUAAGUUGAUUUAUCAGACACUCACUAAGUAUGAUAAAAAUAACUAUUAUCUCACAAUCUCUUUAAAAAAAUUUAAGUUAUUGGAUGACUUAUAAAUGAUAAAAUUAGAAUAUGAGCAAUAGAGUAUUUAGUAAAUUAAUUUAAUAACUUAAUAUGAUUUAAUGACUUAUUUAAGUUAUUAAGUAUGUUUGGUAAAAUAACCAAAGAUUAUAACUUAAAAUCGUUUUUAACUUAAAUUACUAAGUUAAAAUAUUUAAUUUAUUUAUAAUCUAAAAUAUUUUUUUAUUUCAUUUGUCCAUAUUAACGAAAAUAUAUUUUAAAAUUAUGAUUUCAUAUCCAUUAUUUAUUUUUUAUAAUAAAUAUUUUACGAUCAUAUGAUAUAUCAAUAACACUAAUAAUCAUGAUUCAUAAAUAAUUUUAUUGUUAAAAAAUUAAUAAAGAUAAUAUAUGAAUUAAAAUAAAUGACAAUAAUAUAUUAGUUAGUAUUAAAAAGGGUAAAUGUAUUAAUUUGAUAAAUAAGAAUAAAUUUUAAGUUUAUUUAUUUAAAUAAUUUUAAUAUUUAAAGUGAAUAAAUUUUAAAUUAAUAACUUAAAAAUAAUUUAACUUAAAAUCAAUUUAAAUUAUUAAAUAAUAACUCUUAAGUUUUACAAAGCAAUCAUAUAAACAAAACAUGCAUAAAUAUAAAUGUAAUACGAUUUCUAAAUCAAUGAUACAACUCUUUCUUAUCAAUAUUAAUGGACGGGAGAAAUUAUUAUUAUUAUUAUUAUUAUUAAAAAAGUGUCUAAUUUAUUAUUAUUAUUAUUUAUGAUUACAAUUAAUUACAUUUUGGACACUCCAAAAAAAUUUAUUUUCAAAAAGGAAUCAAAAGGAAAAGAACCUGGUAAUCACAAAGGGCAAAGAAGCACUUGUUAGUUGUUACAAGUGUCCAAACCCGAACCGGACGUAUGAAAAGAAAAGCGGUUGACGCGCCUGAAUACCUCUAACAGCGAGUCCAGAGUGCAGACGAAGGAAGAACAAGCGGUGGGUGCACGCGCCUAAGGUUGCCUUUAUGAUUUAUCCUGUUGACGUACCCACUCAAAACAAUUGGGGAUAGAGGGGGACGAUAGAGGUGGGGAGAGAGAGCAAUUGUUUUGGAAUUGGCGAAAAGGAAAAGGGUUAGGUGAAAAUUGUUGAUGGGUUCAAAAACGUGAAGCAAAACCGAGGGCCAAAUCGAAAUCUGGCUAACCUUGAGGGGUUGAGGUUUCGCCUGUCCUUCAAGCAAUCAUCAUCGGAUUACAUAGACGGCGACGAGGAGUGCAGGCCGUGGCGUCGCAGGCUUUCCAUGGCCUUCUCAUGGCUCUCUUUUCUCAGGAUCACCUUCCUCCUCCUCCUUAUUGCCGCCAUCGCCGUCGCUUGUUUCACUCUCCCUGUUGAAAAGGUUCGGUUUUCUCCUCUGGGUCUAUUUCCUUUUCAUUUUUUCAUCAUUUAAUGCGUCCUUUUUUUUUUCUUUCCCUUUUUAGGGUUUUGAUGUACUUUUUAAAAGUGGGUUUGUUGUCUGGGUUUCGAUUCGGUGGUUUGUUUAAUUUGUUGUGCCAUUUUGGUUGGCAUUUUGAGUCACUGGUGCUUGCUUCUUGCUGAUUGAAUUCAUUGGUAGGUGAUUCUUCAAAUGUUAGGUUGGCUUGUGAGGCGGGUUGUUGAAUUUGUGAGAGAUAUUACGCUUAUGUGUGUAAAAUCGCAUUGGCAUUUGGUCAUUUGGUAUGAGAUCAUAAAAAACAAACUAUAAAGUGAAUUGAAACAGACGUAAGACUUCAAAUGUGGGAGUCUCGUGUUAGUCUAAAAGGACGUUAAAUGGAAGUGCUGGCUAGAGUUGAUGUGAAUGUGAGGUAAGAGGGCCACUGGGUAGGAGAUGCAAUUAUAAUACUAAAUUCUUCCAGUUGAUGGCUAAUUGGAGAAGGACAAGAAUUUCCGGGGAUGAAUUUGACAAUGUAGACAUAAUUUCAGAAGAUUGUUUUAUGUUGCAACUCUUUUUCAAGUUUUAGAGUUGUAAGAGGCAAAGAGAAAAAUGCAAAAAUUGAUUCAAGUAGGGGAAGUGCUCCAGGGUUGGAUGCCAUUAGCAUCCUCUCCCCACACGCUUCUCUCAUCAGAGUUGAACUUCUGAAAGUGUUUUGUUGAAAUUCAUUAUAACAGUAUUGCAAACUCCACUUCUACUAUGUGGAACCUAAGAACGAUGAGAUCCUCGUUCUUUUGGAUUUCUUCUUCUUUUUUUUAGGUAAAACAAAAGUGUAAAUAAAAAAGGAAGUGCUUAUAGAGUGCCCAAGAUACCCAGGAAGCAUAUAACGGUCACCUAAAGUCUCAUCCAUAAGAAUAAGGGGGCUACUAAAAGGAAUGCCCGUUCUCAAUAAGAACCCAACCAAUCAACAAAGCUAAUUGAAGACAAAGGACCAUCAUCUAUAAGCAUAUUGGUCCAAGAUCAAAGAUUACAAACAAAAGAGUGUUUUAGCCUUUGGGAGGAAUGCUCCUCGUUUUCAAAUGCUUUUCUAUUCCUUUCUCUUGGAUUUUUAGGCCUAGCAGAUUGGCAAACAGUUUACGUAGUUAUGUGCAGAUUCUUCUUUCCCCCAAAAUUUUGAGGGUGUAGUUUUCACUCUUGAAAGGGCUUAAGGUAGUGUUUCCCCUAGUUUCACCUAGCCACUGAUAGAGGUAGAUUAAGGCCAUUUUAACUUAUGCAUAGAUGGUUACAUGGGAGCAUAUUUAAAUGCUCUUCAUGUAUGAGAUUAUGGGCUUGGUGAACUCUGGGAAGGUGUUGGGUCUCCAGGAUUCACAGGUGUGUUAACUUUUUCAUUAAUGGAGGAGCUUCAAUCUGGUAACUUUAGAGUGUACUUUUAUCCUGCUUGGGUAGCCUGUGGUAUCUGGUUGCUUUCUUAGAAUGGGUUUGUAGGGGUGGAUUGAUGUUGACUUGUUUUAUGUUCAAUCUCUCUUCUCUCUCUUUACCCCUCUCCCUCUCCCUUUCCCCCUCAAGACAGCUAACCUUCUCUCUCUUUUUUUUUCUUCUUAGUAUUAUAAUUUUACAUUUUAAAAAAACUUUGGUGCAGUGGGACAUUUCUUUCUUCUUUUCUCGAUCUCAAUGAUAUCUCACCUAGGUUUGACAAUGUAAUAUUUUGCAAAUUAUUCUUUCCUUCUGAUGGGGGAUGCCAUAUAACCACAAACUAAGGACGAUCCUACCAAUCCUGCUUCUUGUUGUUUUAAUGAGGUCUGCCUUUUAACCUUCAUUAAUAGAAUGUUGAUAGAGUUUUGAUUUUAAUUGUAAUGCCUCUUUUUCUUGCAAUUACUGUUCAAAAUCUAUUUGUUCCUUCAAACUUUGAAUCCGUUUCUAUACAUAUGGGCCUGUUCUAGCACCUACCAAAUUUAAAAUUUCACUUGGAUGACUGCUCGACAUAAGAUAAGAAUAGGAGAUGUGUUAAAAAAAAUAAAUAUAUCUAAAUCUCCUUCACCUAAUAUAUGCUUUAUGUGUAAGAGGGCAAAGGGAAUUGCUUGAGCAUCUCUUUCUGUACUGGAGAUUCUUAUUCAGAGGGAAUGAUUCUUCCUCAAAUUGUUGGACGUUCGUUAGGCACCUUUGAGAGGACUUGCUUUUCCUGUGCUACGUUUUCUCCAGUAUUGAAGGUUCAUUGAGUUAGUUGGAUUGUGAAGAGCACUGUGGUGGCUAUCAUAUGGAUUAUUUGGAGAUAGGGAAUAAGCAAACUUUUUAAGUGAGUGCAUAUGCUAGUUUCAUAAUUCUUUUGGGGUUUCAUCAUUCCCAUUUUAUAAAUUGAUUGGAGGGCAAGCUGUGUUUUGCUUACCAAGCUCCUUCAAGCAAGUGUGGUAAGUUUAACUUUGAUGUUUGCUUGGGUGGUGGGGAACAUAGUCAACUAGCAUCGUUAGCUUUUUAGGGGGUUUGUGUUCUGCCAUUUUACUCACUUUGCAAAAGCCUUUUAAGUAAACUUCCAGCAUUUAUUAGGAUAAAAAAAGGGUAGCAAACAAGCCCUUGAAAUCACAUGGAAGAAAUGAUAUUUGUGGGCAUAUUUGUAUCUCAAUCAAGAUUCUGUUGAAGUCCCAAUUUUAAUUUUUCUUUUUUCGAAUACAGCCUAGUGUAACUCAAUGUCUUUUGCAUCAGACUAUCACCAUUUACAUUGAUACUUAAGAAUGUAUUGGGAAGUUUCUUCUGUUAUGAUUCUUUUUCUUUUUCUUUGUUUUUUUUUUCCAUGAAUAUUUUUUUCCAAUCAUGUAGAUAAAUUGAAUAUUUUGGGAUUAAUCAUAGUAUCAUUGCUGACAAUGAUGUUUAUGUUUUUUUUUUCUGAAUUUCAAUUUUGAAAAUUUUAUACCUUCAUUGUGAUACAUUGCUGAAAAGAAUUGCUUGUUACAGAUUCUGAAGGACUUCUUAUUAUGGAUUGAGCAAGAUCUUGGACCUUGGGGUCCGCUUGCGCUGUAAGUGAGUUGCAGUAUUUUUUUGUUCACUAAUUUACCUUGUAGCAAAUCCUUGUGUUUAACCCAUCUUUUAUAUGUUGUGAAAGUUUUGUUUCGUUUCGUUUUUUUUUUUUUUUUCAUCAUUGUUGUGAGAAUGGUUUAAGUGCAGUUGCUUCUUAUUGAUGGAACAUGUUAAAAGGUAGUUUGUCAAAGUAUGUGAUGGCAUCUGAAUGAGCCUUUCCUUUUUACUUCACACCUUGUAUGACUUUAUUUGACAUAGGUAUGGUAAUCCAAGUUUAAACUCUUUGUAAUCUGGUUUGAUGAACUGAAGAGGACAGCUGAUGUGUAUAGGAGCUAUACGUGUGUUAAAAAAAAUUGAAAGCAAUGAUAAAGUGAUAUUUUCAUCUUUUAAAUUGUAAACUCUAAAUUCUCUACUUUUUUAAUGACACAUGACUAUCGAAGAUAAGUUCAUUUGAAGCACAUGCAUGCAUGGAUAACUACCAUCCCAUAUAAGAAAUGCAUGGAGCACAACUAUAAUGCUCUUCCUCUGUCUAGAGAAUUUUGAUGUUUGACCACCUGCAUUUGCAUCUGCUGAUCAUAAUAUGAAGGCAGCCUUAUAAUGUGUUUCAUUUACACUAUUGUGUAAAUCCUGAAGGCUGAUUCUUUUUUUUUUCAACCUCCUUUUUAGGGUACUCCUUAUUUCUUAAUACAAUAUAUGGGAAAAAAAUAAUUUUAAUAAUCUAGUAAAAAGGCUAUCUUACUUGUAUUUUGCACAGAUGUUGCAGUUUUAGGCUUCUUUGAGUUGAUGAGAAAAUGGACAUUCAAAAAACACAGCACCAACUCAUUCAGAAAUCUUUGCUUUAAUUAAAGAGGAGAUGAGUUAAAUAAUGUUAUCUAUACAUUUGCACUUUAUCAUGGGAUCUCCUUCAGAUGUGGAUAACAUUGUGCGUUUAACUCUAUUGUUAUCAGAGAAAACUGAGUGCACUUUGGAAUGUUGAAGGAUCAAAACAAGAAUCCUUGGAAAAAUUAAUCCUUUGACUCUUAGAGUGCUGAAGUUGCUGCGUCAGACAUUUGAACCAAAUUAGUAUGAGAUACUUGGAUGAUGUCUGUUAUGGGGUUUUUAUCCAAUAGACACAUCUCACUGAGGGAGUAACAUAGUCUGAGUGCGUUAGGUAUUUCUCUGGAUAUUUCUUAAGGUGGUCCUAUGUCACAUUUUCCUUUCCUACAUCAUAUUUUCCUUAUGGGAAAUGAAUUGUUUGGAAAAAUAUGGGAGGAAAACAAACAGGGAGGCAGAGAUUUCCCAAAGCACAAGGUGGGGAAAAAAGGGGAAAAAUCAAUGCUCAAAAGGAAAACAAAGAGCAAGUGCAACCCAAGAAAAUCAAAUCUCCAAAUGUCACCUUGAAUUAUGCACGGAUAUUUUCUUCAAGUUUAACAUUUGGAGAAGCAGGAAAUCUGCACAAGUUCCCCUCAAAUAUAGAGGUGUUGCCAAGGACCUCCAUGGUCAUAUCUAAACCAUUUGAUGAUUAUUUAUUUAUUUUGAUAGGCAAAUGAAAAGCAAUAUAUAAAAAGCUCCAAAAAAUCCAUUUGAUGGUUGUAAACACCUGUUCUCUAGAUUCCUUUGGACUGAACUAGAUUUCAAACGCUGUUGUAAUUGCAACAUCUCAUCCAAUGCACUUAGGGAAAGAGAAAAGUAUCCUUUAGAUUUGGUCCUGACUAGACAUUGAUAUUCCCAAUCUAGUGAGCACCAAUGUUAGAUGCUGGUGUAAAAACUUCAUUUCACACCAUGAUGGGGAAGAAGAAAAUCAAGAUCCUUGACAAUCAAACUAUUGCUAUUAGUGUUAUGCUACCUUCUUGAGUCCAUGUAGCAUAAGUCUGGCUGUUAUGAUAUCUUUCUUAUUAAUACAUCAUUUAUAUGGGUGCCAACACACACACACACACACACACACACACAUAUGCAUGCAUACCCUUUUUUCUGGGAAAAUAGAGCUAUUUUUAUUUCCACACUACAUGCCAUUUAUUAAAUUGCAGAAGAGCUGCUGUCUUACACUAUUACAGAGCUGUAUUUUUCCUAAGUUUAAAGAACUUCUUUAUAUCUAUCAUACCAAUAUUUUGGCAAUAGCCAAUAGAUUCUGGGCAGCAGCUUGGUUAUCUACACACUUGUUUAAUAUUUUUAGCAUUACCUUUUUAUUCUUUAUUAUAUACUUCUUUUGGAAAUUUUGCAGGGCUGUUGCUUACAUUCCUCUGACAGUCCUGGCAGUUCCAGCUUCAGUACUUACUGUAAGCAUUAAAAAUCCAUUUCUAAUGCUUUUAGAUCCUGGUUACCGCUUUUUGUUUCAUAAAUAAGUGCUCAUUUUGCAAAGUUCUAGUUUGUAGCUGCUCCAACAUUCAUUUUGCAUUCCUUGGUUUAAAUGGUCUCCACUAUUCCACUUUUGAAACAUCAAGUCCAUGUUCUCAAUUCUUGGCACUUUUUUUUUUAAAACACAAGUUAAUCACUACGACAUGGCUUAAAAAUGUUACAGAAAUUUAUAUUGUUUAUUGAAGAUUAUAACCUAAGAAAAUCAUGGUGUUAAAGCAUAUUUCUGCCUACCAAUGCCAUCAAAGUCGAGCAAGAUAGUAAGAGAGGAACCUAAAUGCUUCUUCUUGAUGCUAUUCUGCAGAAACUGUGAGCAAGUUUCAGCCAUUAGUAAUACAAAGCAAAAACUUAAAAUAUCUACAGUGCAGGUGGUGCAUUGGCAAGUGCUCAUCUUUACUAGCCUAGAACCUUAAGCUACUGAAUUGUUGCAAAUUGCAUAUCUGGAAUGCGAAAUAUACAUACAUGAGUGAAUUCAAACGUUCUCUUGAUACACUAUUACAUAGGUUUUGCUUGGUAGAUUUUGUUCUUUUGGACCAUAUCUUUUUUUUUUUUUUUUGAUAAGUAAACAAGAUAUGCAUUAGAAAAGGCUAAACGCCACAAAGCAUACAGGGAGUAUACAAGACGGCUACAGCCUCAAAAAGAAAAAAAAGGACAAAAAAGAACUACCUCCCCUUAAAUGGAAGCUAUCCACUCUAAAAAUCCUAUAAGGGAGAAAGACUCCUCACCUAAAUACACUUUGACCCAAUUCUAUAAGUUACAGACAAAAAAAAUCUUUAAUUUCUGAAUAUUCAACGCACCCCCCCUAAAGGCUAACCUGUUCCUCUCCUUCCAAACCGUCCAAAAAAUACACAACGAAAUGGAUUUCCAAAUCUUUUUCCUUUUCUUCCCUACAAAUGAACCCCUCCAGGAGAUUAAAACCUCCUUUACAGUUUCUGGGAGGACCCACUUAACAUCUAUUAACCUAAAAAUAAUAUCCUAUAGAGUUCUAGUCACUAUACAGUGUAAAAGAAUAUAAUUUACAUUCUCUUCUUCACAACCACACAAAAAGCAACAAUUUGGGAGUUGCACCCCUCUUAUCUGGAGUCUGUCCAGAGUGAGCACCUUCCCCCACGUAGCCUCCCAAGCAAAAAAACAAACUUUAGUUGGCACCCUAUCCACCCAUAUUCUCCUUGCGGGAAACACUGUGGCAUUAGGCUUGUCCAGCAGCUUGUAAGCUUCCUUGACCCUAAAAAGACCAUUUCUUCCCUGCCUCCACAUAAUUGAAUUAUCCUCCAGGGAAGGCCUAUGUCCCCUCAAGGUAUGGAGCAAAUCCCCAACCAUAUCCAACUCCUAAUCAUUGAAGUCCCUCACAAAAACAAAAUUCCAAUCUCCUUGGCCCGAAUCUUGGUCCCACAUCUCCUCAAUCGUAGCGUCCCUAUGUGCAGCGAGGAGAAAAAGAUGAUUGAAGCAUUGGGACAACGGAGCGUCAGUGCACCAACUAUCUUUCCAAAAUUUGAUUUUGGAACCCUUCCCAACUAGAAAAGCCAAAUUUUCCCAGCACCAUUCAGAUUCUUUCAUAAUCUCCUUCCAGACCCCUACUCCAGCCGCCCCACUAGCCUUCUUUGACCUCCAUCCAUAAUCCUCUUGCACCAUAUCUUUUUAAGCUUCUAUUAUGUCUGCGACUGAAGAUGCUUGACUGCAUGGUACUAAGGAAACAAGAAGUCAUCUGCAUGUCCAGCUUCCCAUAUCUCAAAUCAACUGGUUACCAAUAAGAUGAGUUUUUGUUUGUCAUUUUCUAUGAAUUGAUCUGAAGCAUCCAUAUUCCAACUGUGUGUACUCUUAACUCUUUCUUUAGCAAUCCUUGACAAUAGCCAUGAAUGAUAUCUUCCUCUAUUUUUAGUAUUUUUUCCUUCUCAAGUUUUUUGAUUCUUCCCUGAUUAUAGUUUGAUAUUGGAUGUGGCAAUUUACAUGUGACCCUUACUGAGAAAUGCUUUAUCUGAGAAGAUUGCAUCCUGCCCUCCCAAUUAAAGCUUCAAUUAAUGUUGUAUCUGCUUUCUAUCUUCCAGCUUGGUGGUGGCUAUCUUUUUGGGUUGCCUGUGGGCUUUGUUGCCGAUUCAAUUGGUGCCACUGUUGGUGCAGGUGCUGCAUUUCUUCUUGGCAGAACGGUAAGUUUCUGACAAUGUAUGAUGGAGUGUAUUUUCUGUUGUUCUGUGCAAUGUGUAUGCAACAGUAUAGAGAACCCAAUAUUAUUUUUUUUUGAUAGAUAAACACACGGAAAUAUAUUAAAAAGGGGCAUAAAGGCGACCCAGAGUAUACAGGGAGUAUACAAGCAUCACCUACAAAAAGAACCAGAAACAAAAAGGACAAACCCUUACCAGCCCUCAACAAGAACCCACCCAGUCCACAAAAUUAAACAAGGAAAAGGGGCCUUCAACUAUGGAAGAAUUAGCCCAAGAUAAGAGAUUACACAUGAAGGAAUUUUUCAAUCUUUGAAUUGAUAGGACUUCAUUUUCAAAAACUAUCCUAUUUCUUUCCUUCCAAACCGUCCAAAAUAAGCAAAGAGGAGCUGCCCUCCAAACCUUGCUACGCUUCUUAUCCUUUAAAGGAGCAAGCCAACCUAAAAGAGUGUCUCUAACCGAAAAAGGGGUAACCCAAUUAACACCAAAUAAGGAGAACAAGAGAUCCCACAAGACCUUCGCCUUAGGACAGUGAAUAAGGAUGUGAUUUAUCGUCUCUUCUUCAUCACAACACAAGGGGCACCUGUUAGCUAAUUUCCAGCCCCUCCUCUUUAGUUGGUCUUGGGUGAGCACCUUCCCCCAAGAGGCUUCCCAAGCAAAAAAGCCCACCUUGGAAGGAACAAACGAACUCCAAAUAAUUCUCCAAGGAAACGGGACUGCACUGCUGUGGUCAAGAGAGUUGAAACAGGAUUUUACAGAGAAGUUCCCAUCCUUCGUCUCCUUCCACGCCAUCCUAUCCUCCAAAUCAGCAUUCAGCCUUUUUCCUUGAAUGAUCAGAAGGAAACUCUCCACCUCCUCCACCUCCCAAUCAUUGAAAGGUCUAAGGAAGCGGGGAUUCCACCCACCCACUUCCCCCAUAGAGUCCCAACAGUCCGCAACCUUCGCGUCUUUAGAAACCGCUAAAUCAAACAAGGAGGGGUAGGCCUCACAAAGAGGGGUGUUCCCGCACCAUUUAUCUUUCCAAAACCUCACCCUCUUACCAUCCCCCACCGAAAAAGAAACAUUGUUGAGCAACAACAACCCUUCCUUGCUGAUUUCUUUCCAAAGCCCCACCCCAUAGCCCUCCCUACCCCCGCAAGUGCACCAACCUCCACUACCAACCCCAAACUUCGUUCCAAUUAUAAGCUUCCAAUAGGAAUCCCUUUCGACCGCAAACCGCCAACUCCAUUUGCACAAAAGGGCCCUAUUGAGAAUAGUGAGGUCUCUAAUCCCCAACCCACCCUUCUUUUUAUGAGAACAAACAAUACCCCAUUUUAUUAGGUGGGGCUUCUUCUCCAACGCACCCCCUCCCCAAAGGAAAUCCCUUUGAAUUUUCUCAAGGCUUAAUUUAACCACUUUUGGCAUACGCAUUAAGGACAUGAGGUAGGUUGGUAUGCUUGCCAAAGUGCUCCGAAUAAGGGUGAUUCUUCCACCCUUGGAAAUGAAUUGCCUCUUCCAUAAGGCUAGCCUCUUGCGCAUCCUCUCUUCCAUUCCGUCCCAAACCAUCACCGACUUAUGCGAAGCACCCAAAGGGAGCCCCAAAUAGGUAGAAGGAAGAGAGCCCACUUUGCAGCCCAGUUCAGCCGCUAGAAGUUCAGCGUUCUCCACUCUUCCCACCGGCAAAAUUUCACUUUUGUUCAGAUUAAUGCGCAAUCCAGAGAUGGCUUCAAACCACAAGAGCAGUCAACUUAAAAAGGCCAAUUGCUCUUGGGAAUCCUCGCAGAAGACCAGCGUGUCAUCAGCGAACAGCAGGUGUGAGACUCGAAUUUCUGCUCCUUCCCUUCCCCUUAUGCUGCAACCUGAAAGGUAACCCCCUCUCACAGCCCUAUUAAUGAGGCUAGUCAAAGCCUCCAUUCCUAAAACAAAAAGGUAAGGGGAAAGGGGGUCCCCUUGCCUUAACCCCCUAGUGCUGCGGAAAAAACCGGUUGGAGAACCGUUGAUCAGAACAGAGAACGACGCAGUGGAUAAACACCAUUUGAUCCACCCAGCCCAUUUCUCCCCAAAGCCCAUUUUUUUCAUCACUGACAGCAAAAAAUCCCAAUUGAUACGAUCGUAGGCCUUCUCUAAAUCCAAUUUGCAUAAAACCCCACUUUCCUUCCUUUUCAUCAGUGAGUCUAUAACCUCAUUGGCUAUUAACGCUGCAUCUAGGAUCUGCCUACCUUCAACAAAUGCAUUUUGGGUAGUAGACACCACUUUUCCCACAACCUUUUUCAAUCUAUUGGCUAGGACCUUUGCAAGCAGCUUGUAGAGGCUUCCCACCAAACUGAUGGGUCUAAAAUCGGUCAAGUCUUCAGCCCCGCCCUUUUUUGGGAUUAAGACAAGGAAGGUGGUGUUCAGACUUCGAACAAACUUUCCCCUUUCAAAAAAAUCUUUGAAAAAUCCCAUAAUUUCGUCUUUGACGAAGUCCCAGCAGAAAUGCCAGAAGGCUAGGGUAAACCCAUCCGGGCCAGGGGCUUUGUCCCCAUUCAACUCUGAAAGAGCCAGGAAUACCUCCUCCGCAGUGAACAUUAGCUCCAGCCUAGCUGCCUCCUCUACCCCAAUGCUGUCAAACUCCAGAUUGUUCACACUAGGGCGCCAGCCACCUGGAUCCGAUAAAAGAGACUGAAAGGCCCUCACCACACCCCUUUGAAUCUCCUGCUCUUCAGACAGCCAGUUGCCAUUGACUUUAAUUUUCUUCAGGCAAUUCUUCCUUCUGUUGGAAUUUGCCAUCUUGUGAAAAAGUCCCGUGUUCUUGUCACCUUCCUUCAGCCAAGUCUGUCUUGACUUUUGUCUCCACGAAAUCUCCUCCAUAAGCACCCAUUUCUUGAAAUCCUCCUUAGCCUCCUUUCUCGCUUCUAACUCCCAGUCAUUUAAAACUCUUAGCUGCUCCUGAAUAUCCCAAUGAGACACCUUGUCCAAUGCCAGCCUCUUGUUCACUUCAAUUCUGUCGAAAACUUCCGAAUUCCACUCCUUCAGCUUAAUUUUUAAAGCCUUUAAUUUUUCUGUCAGGAUAAAACUGUAGGACCCAUUAUAAUUGAAUCCUUGCCACCAGCCUUUUAACAAAUCCUUAAACCCUAGAGAACCCAAUAUUAUUAAUAUCUUAUUAUCUGUUAACACUCCUCCAGUCUUCACUACUUGAGAAGUGAUUGAGAAAUAGGAUCUUGCCAAAUUGUAUACAGCAUCAUACGGUAUAUGCCUUCAUGACCAAUCACUAGUAUUCAUAGCUUCUGUUGCUGCUCAUUGUUUCUCUAAUAUUCUUAUCAUUACUUCUUUGAUGAUAUUUUUCUUCUUAUAAACCCUUUAUAAUGUUCUUUUAUUAAAUUUUUCUAUCUUGUAUAUAUCUGUAUAUGUGUCUUAUUCUGGUAUUUCUAUGUAGAUUGGGAGGUCAUAUGUUAUCUCCAAGUUAAAGGAUUAUCCUCAAUUCCGGGCAGUUGCCAUUGCAAUUCAGAGAUCUGGCUUUAAGGUUUGUAUAACUUAUAUCUGAUCUGCAGAAACUGAGUUAUGUUCUUGACCAGUGCAUCUACUUGAUCUGAUUGUUCCAAUUUUCAUUUUGUAUCUUAUCCAAAAGAGGAUAAAGUUUGUCCUGGUUCAUAGUGUCAAAACUGAUAAAAAGCUUGAGGAUUCUGACUCUCUGAGUGUACUUCCUAAAGAGGGUGGGCAGUGGAUUACUUAUAUUAUAGAACUAUUUCUAAGAGCAACAAAAUGUUGCAUAGAUGGAAAAGUAUGCAGCUUUAAGUCCUUUGAGAACAUAGUGGCCAAUUGGGUAACAAGUAUGGGGAUUCAUUACAAUGAAAUUAUUGGUUCAACCGCAAAUCUAUUUAAUAUUAAUAGUGUACCGAAGUUAGGUAGCACUAUGGAUUGAGUGUCACUCGAUCUAUUGAAAUUUGCAAGUUCCAUGGGGUAUAUAUAUACACACACACCCAUACCUACAUACAUUUAUAUAUAUUUUGAUAGGUAUACCUACAUAAAUAUAUAUACACACACAAAGGAAUUUAAUUGAAAAGGGGCUGAAGAGAAGGGGGCACAGCCUAGGUACACUGGAGGCAUAAACAAGGCCUAUCAGGGCUGAACACAACCCCACAAAAAACUCAGUGAGGAUUCAAACAAUCUACGGAGCCUAACAAAUACAUAGGAUCCACAUCUGAAGACUCCUCUAAUGUUGUGUGUAUAUGCAUAAAUUAUCCUUUACUUUGUGCACCAAUAUAUAUUUGAAAAAUUCACCUCAUUUAAAUGUAAGAGACUGUAGAAGUAUCAGCCAUUUUGCAAGAUCAAGCUGACAAAUUGCUAUCAGGUAGUGUUGUCUAUCGAGCAUUUUUAUGAAGAUCUUAGUUUGUAUCAAAAUGAUCCAUAGCUGCUUAGGAGUUUCUCAUGUUCUCUUCUGGGUACCUUCCUAGGUUGCAGGUAGGCUGUCUAUGUGCUAGGCCAUUUAUUAUUUAGCUCGGUGGUCACUUUCUGUAGUGAUCUCUAGUCAAUAGAGUGCCUGACCAUCUCUGCCUGAAUCAUAUCUAACUGAUUGUUUUCACCCAGUGGUACCCAUAUAUCCACACACAGGUGGUCUGGAUUAACAUUGUACUCUCUGGUUAAAAGGCUAAUAAGACAAUAAAUUGUUGUCCUUAGAUUCUUAUACACUGGCUGAAAGACCAAUUAAUAUUAUGCUUUUUGCUUGAAAGGGCUGUUAAUGUAAGAACCUCUAGCUUAUAGUGGCAUGCUAUUUUAGUUGCUAUCUACAUUUAUGCUUUAUCUCACCCUCUUCUAAGAAAUCUGUGUCUCAUUCAACAGAUUGUUUUGCUGCUUCGGCUUGUUCCCUUACUUCCUUUUAACAUGCUGAAUUACCUCCUGUCUGUGACUCCAGUUCCAGUAUGGGAGUACAUGCUGGCUUCCUGGUUGGGAAUGAUGGUAUCUUCUCCACCCUUGAACUGAAGAUUCUUAGUGAUGUUGUGCCAAUGAUUUAAUCCUUUUUCAUAUUAUCAUAAAUCUUAGGUGUUACAUAGAUUUGAUUAUCAUUAUUCCUUAAUUUUUUUUUCAAUGUGUGUGUGUGUGUGGAUCAACUCACACUUGGAAUUGAACUUAGUAUUCUUACAUUACUUAUUGACCUUGCUGAUAACCCUAUUUUUUUAAACCCAUCGUUGGAUUAGACUCCCUCGCAUGUCAUGCGCACAUGAUGCCACAUUAAUAGGAUAUUAGUAGCCUGGAUUUGAACUACAUCCGAAAUUGGAUUUCUUAUUUUGCCUAUUGUUGGAUAUCAUUCCUCACACUUUUAUCUCAUGAAUGAAUGUCACCUUUAUUAUAUAUUAGCAGCACCCGAAUCCAGUUUUCUUUUCAUUAUAUAAUAAAUGAAACAGUACCAUAUGGAUGAGAUAGCUCCCAUUCUCCAUUCAACUUGAUCGUUGUCAAAUAUGAAGGGGACAUCUUAUACAAAGGUAUGCUUUGUGGUGUGAACCCAAGAAGAAGUUUUCGAGGGUUGUAAGAAUAAGAAGUUGACACUAUAAACACAUGUUAAUGCAUGCACGCAUUCACAGACUUCAAUGGACACACAGAAACACAUGGUAAUACACACUCAAUUCACGUGCAUGCUUCAAUGCAAGUUUACUUACCUCAUGUGGCAAGGUGGUCUUCCCUUCCAUUGAGCUCUUUGCUAAAACCCACCCUGAACCCUGCAAUGUAACCACUGAUCUGAGUCUUUUAGGUGUAAAUUACUCUAGUAAAGUAAACUUUCCAUGGUUAGAAUAAUUUUGCCACAAAAAUGUUGGCAUUUUUUAGCUUUAUUACUUGAAUUUGGCAUCAACAGUGCCUCAAAAGAAAAAAAAAAGGCCAGAGCUGUGUGCAUAGAUCAGCAAAUAUGCUGCAAGGCUUCAUAUUAAUUUAGCAUAUACCACCACUUCCACUUAUAAUAGUAAAUCUAGAAAAUGUCUGCUUGCACCAGGCAGUAAACAUGAAGGUACUUUUGUGGGUUUGUCCCUUUCAGACCAGUGCAAUUCCUCUUGAUAUCUUGAUAUUUAAAAAAAGAAAAACGAAAAAAGAAGAAAAUAUCUGGACCAAACAUCACAAUUGCACAUUAGUUUCUGCCCUUGUAUGGUUUCAAAAAUGGAAUGUAUUACAAGUAUCAUCUGUCUUUGUUUGGUUUAGUUGUCUUUAUUAUUGGAGUGCCUAUUGAAUUGAAUUCCCAGGCUAUGCAUGCAUAUCCUCCAAGAGUUGUUUAAAUGAUCCAAUUUUGAUGGUAUGUUGAUGUGCCCACUCUGUUACCGUUGCAGCCAAUAACACUUGCUCUAGUAUACAUUGGAACCACUCUCAAGGAUCUUUCUGAUGUGACACAUGGAUGGCAUGAGUUUUCAACUUCUCGUUGGGUAAGAGAAUCUAAUUCUUUUUUCCUGUUUAGAUUUUCUAAAUCUUUUUAAAUUAUUGAACUAAUCCCAAAGACCUGAUAUGAUAAAAUUGAACUUGUUACAUUGUUCUAAAGGUACAUUUGAACAGUUUCAUCUUUCUGUUAUUGAUGUCAGCAAGUUGCUUGACACUUGCCUUGGCCCAGUUUCUGAGCACCUCUAUUCUAAAGGUGCAUGAACUUGGAAUCAUGGUUUUAUUUUUCCAUGAUGGGUGUAAGGCCUCAGGAAGGAAUAUGUUGUUUUUUUGGCUGAUUUAAGCUAGGGAUUUAUGGAUGCUCACAUUUAUCUUCUUCUCAUCUUCUAUUCUGAUAUUUGCUUUGUCCUUUAUUGUGGAUGCAGAUAUUUAUAGGGUUGGGCCUUGUGAUAUCUGGUAAGUUGCAAUUUAGUAUGCAUGAUUCGCAUGCACAUGCACGGACAAGUAGAGAUGAAAACUUAGGAAGGCUGCUUGGUAAAAGCUUAGGAAUAUACCUUCAUCGGCUUAAUAAUCACAUCAUACCUAUGUUUACAGAAGCUUAGGUUCUGUUUGGGAAAUGUUCUUGAAAACGGUUUUCUAACUUCAAAAAUAGAUUUGAUAAAUUUUUUAAUGAAAAUAAUUUUUUGAGAAUUUGUUUUUAAAACAUGUUUUUUUAGAACAAAUUUGUUGUGUUUUCAAGGUUUUUUUGGUGGAGUAUGUUGAGAAACAAUUGAAAAUAUGGGGAAUAUUUUUGGGAAUGUUUACAUUGUAUAUAAAUACACAAUACCUUCAUUUCAGAAUUGAGUUAAAAAUUUGUUUCUGAAAACAAGUGAGACCUGUUUUUAAGAGUUGUUCUCAAAAACCAUUUUUUGAAACUCUGCCAAAUAGGCUCUUAAUUUCACAUUUUAAAGAGAAAAGAAUCAAUUCAAUAUUGGUCACAACAUUUGCUUCUAGAGCAAUUUGGUUUGGGAAAAUAAUGCUUCUCAACUAUGUUACAUGGGUUUGGGUACGAGUGUCAAGUGUGGGUGCGUGUCCAAGUGUCUAAUUCUUCACAUUUCAAAUUUUGGCUGAAAAUGAUCAUGAAUGAAAAUUAGAUAUGACAUAAGAAAAGGGAAAAAUAACUUCAAAAGUCUAUGAGAAGCAAAAAAUCAACAUAUCCCUGUUAAGAAAAUUCUCUCUUUUCUCUUUUGUCCUUAUUCUUUAGAAAAUAAUAAAAUUAAAAAUAGGGAAAUUGGAAGCAAACCUCGCCCACACCCAUGUGUAGACACCUGGUAUUUUGAGUGAAGUUAAAGAGUCUGGGUAUCACAGGUUCAAGGAAUUUAUGAUCACCUCCUUGUAACAUCCCAGUAUCACCAAAGAAGAUAAUGGAUGUAAUGGAGGAAUAUGAGUCAGAAUAUUAACCAGAAUAAAGUUUGAUAGACUCUACCACAAAACUUGAAGGCAAGGAAUAGAUUAGAAUGAUCCAAAGUUGUGUAGUUCAUGCAUUUGAGUGAUGUAAUUCAGAUUUCUAAUUUGUUUUCUUUUCUUGGCUUUGUUUGCAGUGAUUCUAAUGGUUUGUGUUACUAAAGUUGCCAAGGCUGCUUUGGAAAAAGCUUUGGCUGAAAACGAGGAUAUAGAUGGCAUUGUAGCUGCCCCGCAGUUACCCAUUGUAUCUAAUCCAUCAUUGGAUCUCCAGCAGCCUCUAGUUGUCAAGAUAGACCCCACUCAAGACAAUCAAGAAAAAUGAAAUACACGUCCUGUAAAUUCUUCCCCUACCUUCUUCAAAAGACUCCUUGUCCCUUUUUUCUUUUUUUACUUUAGCAACUGUCUGCAGCACUUGGUGCUUUCCAUUUUUAUCCAUUUAGUCUCAUCUUCUCUCAUUACGAAUUGUUUUGGACAGAAAUGUAAGAUUAUAUGGGUAAGAAUGUGUUUUAAUUGUAUUUGUUCCAUUGGAAAUCAGUAAAAUAUUUGAAAAAAUUAAUGAAAUUGUUGUUUUUUGAAACCAUCUUGCUUCAGAUAUGAUUGUGUUUUGGUUCUUUCAGGGAGCUUUCUUUUACCGUUGUUUUUCUCUUCUAAGAAGUCUUUACCCUUCCUUGGCUGCAUUCCUCCGGUCCUCCCUUUGUUAAUCAAUUUUUGUAUUGUUGCUUGGGAAACUAGAAAAGAAGUGUGGAAUUGUUAUCCUAAGCCUGUAAUCUGUAUGUUGUUAAACCAUCUCCUUGGAUACUCACCUAAAAAUUGUAUGGUGUUAAUUAAAAUAAAGUGUCUUAUUGGGUAUGCCCGCCUGAAAACUAAGGUAAAGUAAAUUGCUUAACUUUAAAAUGCAUACAUUGAAAUGUGGGGAAGUACUUGUAACAUCAUUGGUGAUUCAUGGUAGCAAAUUAAUGUGAGUCCCCAUGAGGAGCACUCAAGUUGAUAUUUUUCUGGAUCAUCUGAGAAAAUUCUAAGAGAAUUAAUGUGAGUCCCCAUCCUUAAUCCAUUUGCCAUUUGAUAUCUAUGAGAAAAUUCCCUUCUAAGACGACCAAAUAGCCAGAUCAGAUGGUGCUUCUGAGUGGAUCAGUCCCAUUCAUUUGGCUUUUUCCCAGCUUCCUCAAGGGUGGCUUAACCACCGUCACCAACCCCAACCAACACUCUUCCCCGCCUGGCUAUUUGGAUGUUUCUAAUCAGGCUCCUGUCACAAUUGAAUAUUGCAGUUACAGUCAUCAACAAGAUGGUGGUGUUGAGAUUUACCAAAAGUUGUGGAUACAAGAUGCUGGAUAUUAAAAUUCCUGCUGGGUAAAAAAGUUUGUUCCAACUUCCAGAGACUCCGAACAGGAGUAUAUGAAAAGCAUGAAAUUCUAAUGAUGAAAGGUGAAGCAACAUCAUAUGCGGCCUCAUCAUGAAUCUUUGAAUUCAUGGUGGGUGCUUUGGCUUCUUUUUCUUCUUUUUCCUUGCUCAACACACAAAAGAAAAACCAGUCCCUGCCAUUCCAUUCAUUUUCCAUGUACUAUAUAGUAGCUUUCCCGCUGCCUUGUUCUCAAAAUUGGGUCUUGAGGACCCUACCAAUAUCUGGGGAAAAGAUCAUGCAUAUCUAUUCAUGGAUUAACCAUCUUUUUAUAACACAAUGGGCGUGAGAAUUCCCACGCCUAAGGUGACCAGAGGCAUUCCAAGACCAUAGAAGAAAUGCCAGGGGGGUUGGGGAUAUUUCCGCUUGGGAGUUGCUUUUAUGGAUGUCGUGACCAUACGCAUGCCUCGGGACUUGGCACCAGGAUCUGGAACCUCAGUGACAGGCCCUUGGAGCUGCAGAUAAGGGUGGGAUCAAUAUUGAAGAAGGGUCACAUACUGAAGCCAGGUGCCUCAAAGAGACUGAAAUGCAAGAGCAUUUACAAGGCUCACAUGCCCGGUAGGGGUGGCAGCAAUGGCGGAAUGAACAGCCUGCUUUACUACUACGACGAGACUUGCCACCCUUACGUUUGGAUACACGACAGCGUGGGCGAUUUCACACGGAUGGUCAAGCAGCAGUACAUCAGUCUGGAGGACCUGAGAGAUUGCUCCGAGAUCAGAAUUUUCAGAGACCAUCAGAGGGGCUGCAUAUCGGUUCGCAAGAAACCAAGGCCUGACUUUUGCUGAAUCUCUCUUUGCUCCCUUUCGUUGUAAGUUUAGACCACAUGAUAUGAAGAAGCAUUGAUCAGGAUAAUGUUGCUUUGUAAUCCAUAUGCUUUCUUUUUUUUUUUUUUUUUGGAAACUGUGUGAUUCAAGGCUUGAGGUGUAAGUGUUAAUCUCUAUGUACCAAGGGAUUUUACAGAAUCAAAUUGGUGCAGUUGUUGGAUCCAGUUUUUAUCUGUUUUCCAUAGAAUUUAUUCCCAAAAUCUGGAGAAGUAAUAUUUGUUGAGAGAAUCGAACAAGAAGUGAAAGAAAGUUCCAAGAAAGAUCCUCCAAAUCAAUUCAAGGCUUAGGCAACAAGCAAGCGCUUUAGAAGCUUGACGUAUUCAACACGGGAUGCUGCCAUAGGAGUCUCCAUGAAUUCAACACGGUUAAUUUAGUCAGUGGAAGAUGGGUUGUAACCCCAUUUGAUACGUCACCAAUACAUCAUAUUGAGUUACUGAUUGUAAAUCAAUUUUAGAAAGUUGAAAAAUCAAUGGCAAUAGCACUGUAGAUAUAUUUGAUUGAUAAUCUUCCUAAAAAUCAUUAGGAAAACAUUGUUAGAUUAUGUUUUGCACUGUUUUUCCUCUUUUUAGUGGAAAUAUUUUUAGAAGAAACAUUUUAGAAUAUGUUUUAUAGUGUUUUUCCUCAUAAAUAUUUUUAAUGGGAAUGUUUUCUUUUAAAGCGUUUUUAAGAGAAUUAUUUAUAUAACAAUUCGCAUUCAAAAACACUCAAUGGUGUAGAUAUUGUUGAUUUUGUAUUCAAAAGAGUUUUACAACUUUAAAACGUGUUUAUAAGGUUAAAAAGAAUUUAUGCUAACACAUCAUUUUUAUUGUGUAUAUGAAAUCAUGGGGUCAAAUAUAUAGACACUUCUCACGGGGACAAACAAAAUCUCAUAUUAAGAUCGAUGCUCUAAAUUAAAUCUAAAGGAGCUCUCACAGCUUUAAAAUGCGUUUAUAAAGUUAGAAGAACUCUCCUAUCCAAUGUGAAAUAUCACAACUUACAAGUAUUUUUCGAUAAAAUAUUAUAAGGAUAAGUAAUUUUUCAAAUCUUUGAAUGCGUUUAUUAAAUUUGAUCAAAUAUUUAAUUUUUUUUUCAAAAACACUUUUAGUAUGAAAACCCUUCUUACAAAAACCAUCAAACUACUCUUAAUAUAAUCCCCACGUUACUUUCAUCUCCGCAAAUUGUGCCCAACAUUUUUUUUCCCACUGAAUGGGAAACGAUGAAAAGGAUGGGUGUGAAGGUGAUUUAUUGCUCCAAAUAAUUUUGUUGGCAAUUUGAAUUAUUAGAAAGGUGAAGGCUUUUUCAAGGAGUUGAUGCCAACAAUGUCUUGGUGUGGUUGGUUGCUAGUGUGCAACAACCAGAGGAUCACUCGGUCACAUCCCACCAUACAAACAACUCUUUCUUUAUCCUACCUAAAAGACUAAUUAUUUUUCUCCCCUCUUUUGGAGGGUAAGUUUGGAAAUUUGCCAUCCUUCUACUUAAAUAGGUUUCAAUGAGAAUAUAUAUUUUAAUAAUAUAAUGAUAAUAGGUAAAAUGAAGAUAUUUAAUUUUUUCAAGACAUUAAAAAAAAAGGGUAAGAGGAGUUUGCUCUAGUAACAUUAAAUACUUCCUAUAUAAAAUAAUAACGUGUCGAUUUGAUUAAAACAACUUAAUUAGGUUAAAUGAUAACUUGGUUGUACCAAACCUAAUUAUAUUAUUUUCAUAGUUAAAGAAACCUACUAAUAUAUAAUGAUAAAAACUUAUUUCUUUUAACACGUGUAAGAUAUCACAAUUUCCUUUUAUAAGGAUCUAUUUUUCAUGAUAUGCUUUAUCUUGUUAACUGCCAUCUAAAUCAUUGAAAAUAUACGGAUAACAAGUGUGUAUGAUAAAUAUACAAAUAAAAUGAAAUAAGUAGAAAAUUGAAACUCGCAAAUAAGGUUGAUUAAGGUUAGUAUUUGACUUUGUCCUUAAACCAAAUUUGUUUCGCUCAGGUGCUUACGGUUUAUUGAAAAUUGUCUCUUAGAAUACAACUAUCACUUUCUUAUGAUAAUAAUACUUAUUCUUUUAGCACGUGUAAGAUAUCACAAUUCCCUUUUGUAAGGAUCUAUUUUCAUGAUACGUUUUAUCUUGUUAACUGUCAUCUAAAUUAUUGAAAAUAUACAAAUAACAAGUGUGUAUGAUAAAUAUACAAAUAAAAUGAAAUAAGUAGAAAACUGAAACUCGCAAAUAAAAUUUAUUGAGGUUAGUGUUUGGCUUUGUUCUUAAGUCAAAUUUGUUUCGCUCAUGUGCUUACAGUUUAUUGACAAUUGUCUUUUAUAAUACAACUAUCACUUUAUUGUAAUAGUAAUACUUCAUCAAAUCACAAAACACAAUGAAUUGCUUGAUGAUUUGUACUCUAUUGUAUAUUAAAUAUUUGAUAGAAAAAAAAAUGACUAAAAGUUAAGGAGAACUUGAAUGACAAGAAAAAAGAAAAAGUAGAAGGAUGGAUGAAUGAAUGAAUGAAUGAAUAUAUCAUGAGGGUCCCAUUUUUAUAUUUGAAGGUAACUCAUUAGAAGAUAUAUGUUUUUAAAAUACUAGACACAUUAUUUAAAGGGUUGUGUUUUAAGACGCUAAAUACAACCUUUGAAAAAGAUUGUGUAUUUUAAAUACAAAAUACAUCCUUUACAAGAAGUUGUGUAAAAAGUGUACAUGACAAGAACAUCACAAGUAAAAAUAUAUUUAAACAUAUUAUAAAAAAAAUUAUUAACAAUAUUCAUAUACUUUUACUAAUUAAAAAUUUGAGGGGUAUAAUGGGUAUUUCCGCACACUUAUGAGUUAUGACCGAGAUUCUAUAGAAUAGAAAUAGUGAGACUAAACCAAUUUUCUCUUUGUGAGUCAAAUCUUUCUAAUUUUUAAUUUCGGCUUUCGGGUUGAAAAAUGAUCCGUUAACUUAUUCUUCAGCUGUACAUUUUCCCGUCUUGAACUUCCGAUAUCUUUCUUGGUUUUCUUUGCCUCUGCUUUCCUGUUGUCCAAACACCAAAACAUGGGGAUUUCAUGGAGCAACAGAAGGAGAAACAACUAUCUACAAAAUCGGCCGCCGCCGCCACCGCCACCGCCGCCGCCUCAACUCCUCUCUUCUUCUUACUAUUACCCUUCGGAACCACCCUCUCUCCCUCCACCUCCUCCUCCUUCAAAUCCUUCGCUUCCUCAGCCGCACAACUAUGCUUUUACUUCCAAUCCACCUUAUCCUCCACCCCCAUACCCACCCCACAACCUUUAUCCUGCGCAUCCCCCUCCAAUCUACUCUUCCUCCUACUACUGCUCUGGUCCCUACAAUUCCUGCAAUUAUGCCAACCCCAUGAUGGCUCGAUCCAAUUACCAGCCUUACUACGCUAAUCACGGCAAUUACUGGCCUCCAAUUCGGCCUCCAGUGGCGGCACCGCCGCCCCAGCAGCCGCCGCCCUAUGUUGAACAUCAGAAUGCUAAGAAGGUCAGGAAUGAUGUGAAUGUGCAUAAGGAUACGUUGCGACUCGAGGUCGAUGAGCAGAACCCUGAUCAUUAUUUGGUUUCUUUUAUUUUCGAUGCCUUAUUUGAUGGAAGGUAAUGUUUUCAAUGACUUCUUUUAAUUAAUGUUUAUGUUCCCUAUUCUGUGGAAUAGUUUUGUGGGUAUGAAUGAUUUGAUCGUUUGGGUAAGCUAUUGAGUUGGGUUUUGAUUUUAAGAUGAAUUUCUUCACGGGUUGAUUCAAUUUGGGACGAAGAAAUAACCUUUUGUAAAGAUUAAAUGCUAGGUUUUUGUAAUUAUUCAACUCCGAAAUCAGGAAUCAUUAGGGAACUUGUUUGUGAUAGAAUUUUGAUGAGCAUAUAGAGAAAUAGGAGAGCCUUUCAUAAUUGUGAAACUAUGGAUCAAUUGAUCAGAAAUUCUUUUUUGUACCUUCUUUGGGAUUGGGUUAACUUGUACAGUGGGGCUGGCUAUGUCGUUAGUUGACUUAGGCUCUGUGUAAAGCGCACUUGCAGUUUUCUGUGUCCUUGUGCUGUUUUUCCGUAGUUGGGUUACUUUGUAUACAUUGUGUGUGCCUUUUUUUUCAUUUAAUACAUUUUUAUAUUGCCUAUAAAAAAAAAGUACUUGCAACUUUUGUUCUCAAUAUAUCUUCCUUGCUUACAAGAUGACUGCUGAGUUGAGAGGAGGUUUGAGAGGAAGGUGCUGGUUUGCGGUGGAGACCAAGACUUUUGAACACUCCACCGAAUUAGUUGGAGGAAACUAAGAGGGGUUAUUCUGGAGAGGAGUGGAGGGAAACUCUCCACCGUUCCUCACUCUCUUCUUCUCCUUUCUUUGGGCCUAUGGGAUCUCUCUGCUUCUACUCCUUUCUUGAUGUCCGAUCGGAUCUUGGGCAUGUGUGGGGGAAUGUGGUCCAACGCUAUUUGUGGGUUGGAGGGUUUGCUAGGGGAUGCCGACUGUGAUCCCUUGAGAGUAAUCUUGUUGAUGAUAGUGCCUUGGGUAAUGAAUGCAUGGAGGAGCAAACCCUUGGGUUGGCAGACAACACAUUUUCAAAGGAGCUUGUGCUUGUCCCAAUGAGGGUGGAUUCCAUGAAGGUGUUGGAGGUAAAUGUUGGUUCUCGAGGGAAAGAGGGGGAGCUGUCAGAAGGGUGGUCCUCCAGUUGCCUUGCUAAGUUUAGCUGAUGCUUAGGCAUGUCGAUGGAGGUUUGAAGGGGAGAUUCUAUACCUACUCAAGAGGAUGAAAGAGAGAAUCGAUCAAAAGGGUCAUGUAGGGGCUAAUAGGAGGGCGAAUUCCUUGUCUUCUAGGUUUGAAAGGGAACUCAAGAAACUUGAAUGGAUAGUGAAUUAUAAGGGUUCAAGCACUGGUAGUGGGUUGGGCAAAUCUGGUGGGGCCUUUGUUUCGGGAUGCAAAUAAAGAUAAGAAUCCUGUCCUGGAAUGUGAAAGGGGCUAAGGAUAGUGACAAAAGGAAGAUUAUAAAGUCCUUGAUCAAGUCGCAAAGGAUGGAUGUGGUUUGUUUGCAGGAAACUAAAAUUCAAGAGAUGUCUAGUGGGCUUGUACAUAGCCUUGGGGUGGGCAGAUAUUUACAGCGAAGUGUUGUCAAUUCUAGGGGUGUAGUAGGUGGAAUUUUGGUGUUUUGAGAUAACAAGGUGCUUGAGUUAGUUGGAGUGGAAAUGAGGAGUUACUUGAUUUCAUGCAGUUUAAAAAUUGUGAGGAUGGUGGAUUGUGAAUUUUUACCGGGGUAUAUGGCCUGAUGUGUAGGAGGAACUAAGAGUGUUUCUAGGAUGAGUUUGGGGCAAUUAGGAGGUUAUGGAGUGAUCCUUGGUGUAUCGGAGGCAACUUCAACAUGAUAAGGUUUCUUGGGGAGUGUUGUAAGGGAGACGGUCUUUCCUUAGCCGAGUAGAUUUUAGAGGUUACAGAGGAUCUAGAGCUUAGAGAUAUCCCUUUGCAGGGAGGCCUUUUCACUUGGACUGUUGGGUUGAAUAAUCAGCCCUAGUCUAGACUUGAUUGAUUUUUGGUGUCUGAAGAUUGGGAUAACCUCUUCAAAGGGGCCUUGCAAUGUGUUUUACCUAGAUCAGUUUUUGACCACUUUCCCACUCUUCUAGACGAGGGAGGCAUGAGGAGAGGAUCUAGAUUCAAGAAUACGUGGUUGGAGGAGGGUUUUAAUGAUUUGUUGAAAAAUUUGUGCGUGGGUCUUAAUGUUAAUGGUUCCUAUAGUUUUGUUUUGGUUGCUAAACUGAGAGCUUUAAAAGUAGUUUUGAAAUCCUGGAAUAAAGAUGUGUUCGACUUUAUUGAAGCCAAAAAGGAAGUGGCCCUCAACCAAGUGGCAUUUUGGGAUGAUAAAGAGAGGGUUACAACCCUAUCUUUGGAAGAGGUUGAAGCAAUAAAUGAGGCAAGGGAAGAGUAUAAAAAAUGGGUCCUUAGGGAGGAAAUUUUAUGGCAGCAGAAAUCAAAGGAAGUGUGGUAGAAGGAGGGCGACAGUGACACCAAUUUUUUCCAUAAGAUGGUGCAUGCCCAUAGAAGGAGAAACUGGUUGGCCAAGGUUAAAGUGAAUGGUUGCUGGCUCAUUGAGGAGAAUGAAAUAAGAGAUAGUGUGGCUGGGUCUUUUCAAAACCUUUUAACUGAGGAAGGGGAGUGGAGACCUAACAUUGGUGGCUUGACUUUUGAGAGACUAGGAGGCUGUGAGGCUACAUAGUUGGAGCUCCCAUUCUCGGAAGAAGAAGUUUUCACUACUCUUUCAGACCUAGGCAAGGAGAAAGUGCCAUGUUUGGAUGGGUACACUAUGACAUUUUUGGCUUUUUAGUUGGGAGUUUGGGAAGGAAGAGGUGAUGAGCUUUUUUAGCAAUUUCCAUGAGGGGGGCAGAUUUGUCAAAUCCUUGAACGCUACUCUUUUGGUUCUAAUUCCGAAGAAAGGUGGUGCCGAAGACUUGAGAAAUUUUAGGCUAAUUAGCCUUGUGGGCAGCCUUUAUAAGCUAUUAGCUAAGGUUUUAGCCAAUAAACUUAAGAAGGUAAUGGGUAAAGUGAUCGCUUUUGUUAAGGGUAGACAGAUUUUGGAUGCAACUUUGAUCAUUAAUGAGGCUGUAGAUUCAAGGCUGAAAUGUAGUGAAUGUGGUGUUCUUUGUAAGCUUGACAUUGAGAAGGUAUAUGAUCAUGUAAAUUGGAAUUUCUUGUUGUUGGUGUUAAGAAAGAUGGGCUUUGGGAGAAGUGGAUUGAAUGGAUAAAUUGGCGCAUCUCAACAACAAAAUUUUCUAUUCUUAUCAAUGGAAUCCCAACUGGUUUGUUUCAAAGCACAAGGAGUUUGAGACAAAGGGACCCCUCUCUCCUUAUUUAUUUGUGAUUGCUAGAGAGGCGUUUAGUUGUCUUCUGAAGAAGGUGGAGAAUGGUGGCUAUCUUUCUAGGUGGUGGGUGAGGGGUAGAGGAGGGGAUGAGAUUCAGAUUUCCCAUUUAUUAUUUGUUAAUGACACUUUUGUGUUUUGUGAGGCAUCACAAGAUUAGAUGACUUAUUUGAGUUCGUUACUUAUGUGGUUCGAGGCAAUUUAUGGGUUGAGAAUUAACUUGGAUAAAAGUGAGUUAAUUCUUGUGGGGAGGAUGGACAACAUAGAUGAUUUGGCUUUGGAUUUGGGUUGCAAAAUCGGCGAUCUUCCCUUUUCUUACUUGGGUCUUUCUUCGGGAGCCUUUUUCAAAUUUGUGACAGUUUGGGAUGGGGUGGAAGAAAGGUUUCGCAAAAGGUUAGCCAUGUUGAAAAGAUAGUACAUCUUGAAGGAGAGAGACUUACUCUAAUUCGAAGUACUCUCUUUAGCAUGCCUAUCCAUUUCAUGUCUCUUUUUUGCAUGCCAAGGCAAGCUAGAUUGUAGUUGGAGAAGAUUUAAAGAAAUUUUCUUUGGGGUGGUGGGGCUUUUGUUCAGAAACCCCAUUUAGUAAGAUAGAAAAUGAUUUGUUCAGAGAGAAGGAAGGAGGGGCUUAAGUGUGAGGUGUUUUUUAGUGAUGAACGAAGCUUUCCUCUGUAAGUGGAGUUGACACUUUGCUAAUAAAAAAGGGGCACUUUGGAAGCAAGUCAUUAGUUAGAAGUAUGGUGAGGAUGAAGAGGGGUGGCGAUCCCAUGAGGUGGGAGGUAGGUAUGGCGUUGGUCUUUGGAAAAUCAUAAGAAAGGAAUCAGAUUUUUUAAACAGCAUAAUUUCUUUCUUUGUGGGAGAUGGUUAGAGAGUAAGAUUCUGAAAGGACAAGUGGUGUGGAGAUGAGCCACUUUGUGUUUUCUUCCCUUCCUUUUUUGCCCUAAUCAUUUCUAAGGAUGCAUGGGUGGUGGAUGUUUGGAACUUCAAAGGCAAAAGGGGUGGUUGGACUCCUUGCUUCUUUAGGUUGUUUAAUGAUUGGAGUAUCAUUGAAGGGAUGGUUGGGCGAAUGUUUGGAACUUCGAAGGCAAAAGGAGUGGAAAGAGUGGAGCACUUUUUGGUUGAAGAUUCAAGCAAAAAGGGUGUAUAGGGAUGAGGAAGAUAGGAUGAUUUAGACGGCUUCGAGGUGUGAAAACUUUUUAGUUAAAAUCCUUUUAUUUUAUUUUCGACCUCGGUGACCCUUUAUUGUUCUUGUGGAGUAUCAUUUGGAGAUCUUGUGCGCCACCAAAGGUGGCUUUUUUCACAUGGGAAGCAACACGAGGGAAAUCACUAACUUUGGAUUAGGUUCAAAGGAGGGGGGUUUCUUUGGCAAACAAAUGUUUUCUUUGCUAUUCUGAAGAAAAAGCUGUUGAUCACAUUCUUUUUCACUGUGCAAAUACGUGGAUUCUAUGAUAGUUACUUUUUUCUCUUUUUAGUGUAUCUUGGGUCCUUUCCUCUUCAGUUAAGGAGGCGCUCCUUAGGUGGCAUGAUUUUUUGUGGGUAAAACUCGUAAAAACUCUUGGAUGAUGACCCCUUUAUGUAUCUUUUGAAUGGUGUGGAAGGAAAUGAACAUGUUAGUGUUUGGUAAUGCGGAGUUGUUGGUCCAAAGGAUGAAAAAAAAUUUUGUUUAUAAUUUGUGGUCUUGGUCUAAGGUGUUUGUAGAUAUGGACCCUAGUUCUCUUGUUAGCUUUAUUGAUUGGCUAGGUUCUAAGUGAGGGCAGAUGGUGUUUUUUGUUUCUUUCUCUCCCACUUUGGGUGGUUGGUGUAUACUUCUUGUAUACUUUAGGACAAUAUUUUGGUGUUUCCUUUAUAUAUAUAUAUACUCUCUUACCUAUUAAAAAAAAAGAAAAAAAAAAGAACAUAUCAUGCUAUAAUCGGUGGGAGAUUUUGAUGUCUUGGAAUUUUGUCAUAAGUGGUACGGAUGGUUGGUAUUUGUUCCUAGGUUUAGGCAACAAACACAUUGGUGAUUGGUUUUGAAAUUCAUAAUUCAUUUGAUCUCCUGCCAAUCAUUCAUUUAAAGAAUCUCAAACUUCAUAAAUGUAGAAUUUGCAUAAAAUGUUAAUUAUCUUUGGUCUAUUAACCCAUUUUUGAACAAAGGAAGAUGAGAUAAAAGGUGAUGAUGAGCACCUCUAUUUUUUUAAUUUUUUUUUUAUAUAUAUCUUUGUUAACUAGGGAACCUCACCAUGGCAAGGUCCUUUGAGCCCACUUAUCCCAAAGUACUAACUAGGUCGCCAUAACCAACAUCAACAAAUAAAAAUAAAUAUAAAUAUAUAUUAAAGGUGCCAAUAAAAAAGAGGCGAGCAUAUUAUAUUGAAAGUAUACUUGUGAGAAAACAAAAAGAAGCAGACUACAACCACAACCACAAUCUAGUACUUAUAGUUCAACCACUCAGUAAAAUCUAUCAAGAAUAGUGGACAAGUUGGACCAUCAAUUAUAAGAUACCCUUGACACCACAUGUAUAGAUUAGAUAUAAGGGAAUUCUUGAGAGAUUGAUUAGUGCAUUGCACCCCUUUGAAGGUUCUUUGAUUUCAUUUCUUGAGAGCCGUCUCCAUGCCUUUCUUUUCUUUUUGUGUACAAAGUUCCCAUUCCAAUCCAUUAGCAAGUUCUUCACCAAAUAUGGGAGAACCCAUGAAGUGCCAAAUAAGGAGAACAAAAAGUGUUGUAGCCCUCUAGCUUCCACAUGACCAUCUCACUUUCUACCUUUCAAACAUCAUCCACCUAAACUUCCUUGGAAGUUGCAAAAUAGAAUAAAGAUGGAAAAAGAGUCCUUUAAUGGAACAUUGCUGAACCAUAUAUCAUGCUGGACUUUUAUUCUUCUCUCUCAUGACCCACCUCAAAUCUUGUUUUAAUUUAAAAAAAUUCCCAUUGUUUUCUUAUCGACUUCCAUAAGCUAACAUUAUAGCCUUUUUUUCCCUAGCCAAAGGCACCAUCUUCUUGGCUCUUCCCCCCUAAACUUUCCCACUAUGACCUUUCUCCAAAGCAUAUUCUUCUCCAAAGUGAAUCUCCAAUAUCAUUUACCUAAUAAAGUUUUAUUGAGAAUGGACAACUCCUUAUUGCCUAAACCUUUUCCUUUUAUCUUUGCAAAUUGUUUACUAUUUCACUACAUGAGGCUUUUUCUUGAGAGUCCCUCCCCAUAGGAAAUCUUUUUGAACUUUUCCUAGUCUCAUAGUCACUAACUUGGGAAUAACAAAAAGGGCAAUGAAUAAUAUCAGUAAGCUACCAAGAGUACUUUUAAAAAAGUGAGUCUUUCCCCUUUUGAGAGGUAUUGCCUUUUCUUUUCCUUUUUUUUUUUUUUUUUUGAUAGGCAAAUAGGAAUAGAAAUAUAUUAAAGGCACUAAUGAAGAAAAAGCAAGCAUAGUAUCUUGGAAGUAUACAAGUGACAAAACAAAAAAAGCAAGCUACAACCCCGAUCUAAUACUCAAAGCUCAACCAUUUGAUAAAAUCAAUCAAGGAAAGGGGACUAACUUGAUCAUCAACUAUGAGGUAGUGCCUUUUCCAUAGAGCUAGUCUUUUGGAGAGCCCCUUCUCUGUCACAUCUCAAGUAGUUGAAGCCUUGAAGGGAGCACCCACAACCCUGAUCUAAUAAUUAGAGCUUAACCACUUGAUAAAAUUAGUUAAGGAAAAGGGACCAGCUCGGCCAUCAACUAUGAGGUAAGUGCCUUUUCCAUAGAGCUAGUCUUUUGGAGAACCUCUCUUAUACCACAUCUCAUUUAGCUGAAGCCUUGAGGGGAGCACCCAAGGGUAAGCCUAAGUGGUAGACAACUUUCCCACUCCGUAUCCCAAUAUUGAUGCUUGCUCCUCCACAAUUGGGAACUCUCCCAGCAGAAUUAGUUCUCUUUUAUUUAAGUUAAUUUUUAGCUUUGAAAAAGCUUCAAACCAAGAUAGAACCCAAGCCAUAUAGGUCAAUUGCGGUAGAUAAGGUUCACAAAGAAAAAUGGUGUCAUAAGUGAAUAGAAGGUGAGAAAUCUCCAUUGCUCCACCUCCCCUUGAAACCCAUAAUGAAGCCACCCUCCCAUGCGUUUCUCAAGAGAAUGCUAAGAGCCAUAUAAAAAGAUAAGGAGAAAGGUGGUCCCCUUUCUCAACUAUGUACUUUAAAAAAACCCUGAGGCACACCAUUUACCAAAACUGAAAACAUUGCUGUUGGGAUAUUAAAUUGAAUCCGCUUAAUCCAUUUUUUCCUAAAGCCUAUUUUUGGCAUCACCCCUAAAAGGAAGCUCCAAUUUACAUAGCAUAGGCUUUUUCUCUAUCUAACUUACAAACAACUCCUCUAUGACUCCUCAAUCUCGAGUCUAUGAUGUAUUCAACAAUGAAUGUAUUUGGAAGUUAUUUUCUUCCUUAAAUGGUUGAUAUACAUUUUAAAAAGAACUUUGCCCGAAUGAUACUCAUUGACUGGUAAUAAAAUAAUAGGAUUACAAGGAUAUUUGGGCUUUGAAGACGAUAGAAUAUUAAUCAAAUUUAUUAAUAUCAUUGAUGAUAUGUAGGAUAGAGUAGUAACAAGCAUGAAGAGUGUUGAGGUUUCAAUCAUAAUAGGCUUACAUCUAGGAUCAUCAUUAAUUCUUUUUCACUCAUGGUUGAAUUUAGUAUGCAUAUUCAUGAAGAUUUUCUAUCAUCCGUGUGUUCUUCAUAUGGUUUGGUUACAAACCAAAGUAGGUGUUAUUAAUUAUGGUGAAAAACUUUAGGAUGUAGAGGUUGUGGGUAAGUAGAAAUAAAACAAUGUAUGCACUAGAAGUGGAGUGGGAAUAUAGUGAAGAUUGGUGGUUAUGGAAUAACUAAAAGUUACUGUUGUUCUUAUCUUGGAUCAAUUGUCCAUAUGGAGAGAAAGAUUGAGGAGGAUGUCACCCAUACCAUAGGAUGUGUUUGGGGUAGAAGCGUCUCUUGAAUGUCAUUUGAUAAAUGAACACUUGUAGUCCAAGACAAUACUAAUAUGAUGGUAGUAGUGACCUCAAAUGAGUAGGGAUGACAAUGGGGCGGGUUUUUUCGGGUACUUGCCCUGCCUUUAAUGGGAUAGGGUUGAAUUUUAAUAAACGGGUUUGGGAUUUUUUUUUAAAACCCAGGGCGGGUUCGGGUAUUGCCCCGCCCUGCCCCAACCCGAUUAUAUAUAAAAUUAAUUUAAUUUAAAAUUUAAAAAUAAUUUAAUUUAAUUUUUAUUUUACUAUUUUUAAUAUAUAGAUAAUAAAAAAUAUUUUUAAUAAAAUAAGUUAUAAAAAAUAUAAUAAUUUAAUUAUUUAUAAAAUAUAUUUAUCUUAAUGUAAUUAAAAUUUUUAAAAGUAAUUUUUUAAAAAAAAUUAAAAUUAAAAAAAAAAGUUAAACGGGGCGGGGCGGGGCGGGGUGGGUUUGAGAAUAUAUCAUACCCGCUCCGCCCUGUUUAAAUUUUUAAAUGGGACGGAGAUGAGAAUUGUUUUGAAUAAAUGGGACGGGGUUUGGAUGGGGGCGAACCGUCCCGAACCUGCCCCGUUGCCAUCCCUACAAAUGAGGAAAGGAUGAGGGAAAGUUCUUUAAGAUGGGUUGACUAUGAAAACAAAGAUCCAUGACAACACUAGCAUGAAGAAGUGAUGUGCAAGUUGAAGGCACCAGGAGGAUUUGAUUAUCUUAUACUUUUCUAGAUGGAGUUUAAUGGUGAAAAAGGAUUUGUGUUGCUAGUACUUCAUAGUUUACUUGACAAGGAUGCAUGAAUUGUCCAGUAACACCAACCACAUAAGAUGUUUUUUUUUUAUGAAGAAACCCCACAAACCUCUAAUUGUGUAGGAUUAGGAGAUAUAGCAGCUAACCAUGCGAUGCCAUCUUGUUUCACUGCUUGUCAAUAAACUGUGGCCUUGAUUGUCAAGCUAGAAAAUCUCCGAUAUGGUAAUUACUGCAACAUUGUUGAUACUUGUUAUGAGCUGAUCAGGUUUCAGUACAUUGGAUGACUGUUUAAAAUCAUUACUCCCUUUUCUAAGGGAGGGAGAAUCACUCUAAUCAAAGGCACUUUAUUGAGCCUUCCAAUCUAUUUCAUGUCCUUGUUCAUCAUUCCAAGAAGGUUAGUUCAAUAUAUUUCAUGUCCUUGUGGCUUUUUGGCCCUUUCUAUAUAUAUUGUUGUUUAUCUAUCAAAAAAAAAAAAAAGAAGGUUAGUUCAAGACUUUAGAAGACCCAAAGAGACUUUUUAUGGGGAGGUUGUGUGCUGGAGAAAAAAACCUCAUCCGAUAAAUUGGACCAUAGUCUGCUUAGAAAAGAAAGUUAGGGGUCUUGGUGUCUGUAAUCUUUGAACCUUAAACAAGGCUUUGCUUGGUAAGCAGAUUUGAAGAUUUGCUACUACAUGGAAGUCCUUUUGAAAACAUAUCAUUAUAAGGAAGUCCGAAGAGGAGGAAGGGGAUGGUGUUUGAGAAGGGUGAGAGAAGGAUAUGGAGUGUAGGGAUGUGCAAAGCCAUAAGAAAUGAGUGGAAAGGAAUAAAAAGUAGAUCUUGCUUUACAAUUGAGAAUGAGAGAAGGGUUGAAUUCUAGAAAGAUCUCUGGUGUAAUGAUUUACCCUUAAAAAAUGUCUUCCUAAACUUAUUCUAUAUUGCAUCUAACAAAGAUGGGUGGGUAGUAAAGGCGUGGGGGCAGGUUGGUGAAGCGGGAGGUUGAAGCCCCUGCAUUUCAAGGCAUAUCAAUGAUUGGGAGCUUAAGGAAUUGGAGUUUUCUAUGGAAAUUGAAAACAUUGUCAAUUAAAAGGAAAAUGGAGGAAAAAUUGAGAUAGAAUGAGGCCAAAAGUGGCAAAUUUUCAGCUAGAACCUUUUAUUCAUCCUUGGUUAGGGGAAAUAAAGAGCCCUUUCUAGCAAGUGUAGCCUUGUUGGUAUGGGCAAACACUAGGAAGUGUGGUCCUAGAAAGUGGCAUAUGAUCUUGAGUUCAAAUCUUGCCAUUGAUGAUACCCUAAAUUUACCCGAUGCUGGUUGUUCUGGGGCGGUUAGCACCUCGAGGUUUGGGUUUCCAUAGAGUUCUAAGGGCUUGGCUAUGGAAGGUUACUCAGUUAUAAAAAAAAAUAAAAUAGAGAGCCCUUCCUAGCAAGUGUAGUGUGGAGUACAUGACCACCAACAAAGGCUGGCUUCUUUGCUUGGGAAGUAACUUACGGCAGAAUUUUAACACUGAAACAACUCAAAAGGAGAGGGUGGACUUUGCUGAAUAGGUGUUAGUUGUGCAAAGGUAAGGAGGAAUUGACGAAUCACUUGCUUUUCCAUUGCUUUGAAGCAAGUAUGUUAUGACAAUUGUUAUUUUCUCUCUUUGAAUUGUUUUAGGUGAUACACUUUUCAAUAGAAGGAACCUUUUAGGAUGACAUGACUCUUUUAUGGAGAAGAAACAAAAAAAGCGUGGAGGAUUGCACCUUGUGCUUGUUUUGGACUCUUUUGAAGGGAAAGAAACAAGAGGACUUUUAAUGACAUUGAGAAGUCAGAUCAAGCAAUCAAAUAUAACUUUCUGUAUGCUUUUGUAAAUUGGAUUAGGAUGUAAAUAGAGGAUUACUCAAUGACAAUGAUGGACUUUGUAGAUUGGUUGAGCUUAAGUAAGGGGAAGGUUUUUUUGUUUAUCUUGUCCUUGUCUAGACAAGGUGUCUUUUAUAUGUUAGGACACCUUCUUUUAGGUGCUUUUAUACAUUUUUUGUUUUACCUACCAAAAAAAAAAUGGAAAAUCAAUACCCAAUCAUAUCCCACUUGUAGGGAGCCAUACCUUACAUGUCUAGUAACUUUGGUAAAGUUCUCUCUUUUUAUUUUAUCAGUAAGCAAGAAAAUAUUAUAUAUAUAAGGUACAUAGAAUGUAUACAAUGGGUACUAAAAGACAUUACCAAAAAGAGAGAGAACAUUAAAAUAACUACUCCUUCCCUUAGCUAGAUCCCGCCCAAUCUACAAAUUAGGCCUUUACAUGCUAACCCAUAACACUAGAUUCUUAAGGAAAAAACACUUUAGUUCUUGAAUUGAUUGUUUCUCACUGUUGAACACUCUUACAUUUUCUUCUAAAAUGUAUAGGAGAGUGGCUCUUUUAACCUUCUUACGUUUUCUUCCCACAAAGGAGUCACACUAACUUAAAAGAGUCUCCUUGACUUAUAGAAGGAAGGACCCACAUAAUGUCAAUCAAGGUAAACAAAAAUUGUCAUAAUGCCUUUAUUUUUGCACAAAUGAGACAUUUGUUUGCCAAUGACCACCCUUUCUUUUGAAGUUGAUCUAAAGUUAACACCUUACCCCAACUAACUUCCCAUGAAAAAAAAAAAAAAACCUCACUUUUGAUGGAAAUAAUGGCCAUCGAGAAAAGGGGUUGCAUGCCCUAGCUCCAAAAUGGAAUAUAAAGAUUUGACAAAGAAUACCCCAUUCCUAGAAUCCAUUUAUACCACUUUUAUCUUUUUCUUCUCUAUUCAUGGACCUUCCUUGUAGCCUUGAGAAAAAAGCCUCUACAUUAUCUAACUUCCAAUCAUCCCAGUGUCUAACAACAUGAGGAUUCUAAGUGGCCCCCCUCACCUAGAUCAUCCGAAAGAUCCACCUUCCAAACUUCUUUUGAUAAUGCUAAGGUAUACAAGGGUAGAAAAGAGCCACAUAAGGGUUCAUCACCGCACGACAUAUAACUUCACCCUCUUCCCAUUUCUCACCUCAAAGGAUGUUUCUUGCCAAUCAAAUUCUAUAUUUUUCUGUAAUUUUUCCAUACCCAAACCUCAUACCCUUCACUCACUUUGCAAGAAUACUAACCCCCUCAUCUUCUCCAUACUUUCCUCGAAUGACCUUUUCCAAAAGGUUUCUCCUUCCAAAGAAUAUUUCCAACACCAUUUUCCUAAGAGAGCCUUAUUAAGCGAGGAAAGAGAUCUGAUUCCUAGGUCCCCUUUGCUUAUCUCCCUACUAUCAAUUGACCAUUUCACUAAAUGCAUUUUGUUCUCUGAAGCCAUGCUUCCCAAAGGAAUGCUUUUGGAAUUUUCUUAAGCCUCAAUUUGACUUUUUGGGGGGCAUGCUCAGUAAGGACAAAAUAAAUAGGCAAACUGGACAAAGUAUUUUGAAUUAGAGUAACCCUCUCCCUUUUUGAAAUAUAUUGUUUUUUCCAUAAUGAUAGUCUUAUGUGAAAUCUUUCUUUCAUGUUAUCCUAAAUUGACUUUACUAUGAAUGGAGCUCUAAGAGGAAGCCCCAAGCUACUUUGGAAGCUCCCUAACCAUGCAUCCCAAUUUUAAAGUCAAUUUCUCCACAUUAACACUCCCCCUAUUGGGAUCAAUUCACUUUUCUCAAGGUUAAUUUUUAACCCCGAGAUAGUUUCAAACCACAUAAGUAGCCAACUUAAAUAGGGUUCAAAAUCUUAGCAGGGGCUGGUAUGACUUUGCCAAGUCAUCUACCUCAGCUAAUAUCAUUACGAUACCAAGAACCAAGUCCAAUAUUUUGUUGAAUUGCAAAAUAACUCAGUUGACUAAGAGAUAGAUCGAAGCUUUUGAAGAAGGGAUUCAAGUCUCACACCUAUUUUUUGUAGACAAUAUUCUUCUUUUAUGUGGGGAUAAUGUAGAUCAAUUGAAAUAUUGGAUGUUAAUAGUCACUUGCUUUGAAAUAGUGUCAGGUUUGAAAAUAAAUAUGAAAAAAAGUGAAAUUAUUCUAGUGAGGGAGGUGGAGGAUGUGGAUAGAGUACUUUUUUUGGUUGCAAAGUAGGGAGACUUCCUACUUCUUAUCUUGGUUGCAAAGUAAGUCUUGUGGUGGGUGGGAUUCAAUCGAAAGAAGAUGUUUAACAGGAAAUUGAUUGCUUGGAAAAAGUAGUACCUGUCCAAAGGAGGAAGACUAGUCCUUACUAAGAGCACUCUAUCAAAUCUCCCUAUCUAUUUUAUGUCCCUCUUUGCAAUUCUUAGAAAAGCAAGAAUUGGAUUAGAGAGAACUCAAAGGGACUUUUUGUGGGGAGAUACGAAAGAAAGAAGAAAGAUCCAUUUGAUAAAUUGAUUAGAUGUUUGUAAGGAUAAGAAGUACGGAGGGUUGGGUUUAAGAAGAUUGGAGGGCCUUAAUCAAGUCUUGCUAGGCAAAUGCUUGUGGAGGUUUCCUUUUGAGAGGCAAAACUUGUGGAGGAAGAUUAUACAUAGAAAAUUUAGGGAGAUUGAAGGGGGAUGGAUUACCAAAGGGGUGAGGGAUUCUUUUAGGAUGAGCCUAUGGAAAGACAUUAGAAAUGGUUAGGAAAAUUUCAAUCUUAAAUUAAUUAUUUGAAUCAUAAAUGAUAAAUAUACAAGAUUUUGGUAGGAUAGAUGGGUGAGGGAGGUUAAGUUAAAAGACACAAUCCUUAUGCUUUUCAAAAUAACCUGCACCAAAAAUGCCCUGGUUGCAGAUUUAUGAGGUGGAGGAGGAGUUGAAGAUGACAAUUGGGAAGUUCAAUUUAGAAGAUCUUUCCAAGAUUGGGAAAUAGAGGAGGUGACCCAAUUUCUAGAGCUUAUUUACCCUUUGAAUAUGCAGAAAGGAGCGGACACUUUACUUUAGAAAGAUGAUAGGAGGGGAAAUUUCAGUGUUAGGCUGUACCACAAAUCCUAAGUGAUGAGAAUAAUUUAGUAUUCCCAGCCAAAGAGAUUUGGGGAUCCCUAACUCCCCUGUGUUUUUUUUUUUUUUAAAAAAAAAAAAUGCAUGGGAAGCUGUUUGCGGGAAGAUAUUAACUGCAGAUAAGUUAAUGAAGAGGGGAUGACCCAUGGUCAACAAAUGCAGCCUUCGUAAAGGCAAUGAAUAAUCAACUAAUCACAUCUUGAUUCAUGUGAUAUGACAAGAGUGCUAUGGACUUUUCUGUUAGUAGUUUGUGACUUGAAUUGGGUGUUUCCUAUUUAUUGAGAAAUCUCCUACUUGAAUGGAAAUUUAAGGGGCUAGAUAAGAAGAGAAGAAAUAGUUUGAUGCAUGGCUCUGAUUUGUCUAUUUUGGUGCAUUUAGAAAGAGCGCAACUGAAGGACUUUCAAUGAUGGAGAGCUUUCAUACCAAAGAUUGAAGGAGUUCUUCAUUAAAUCGCUAUUAGAGUAGUCUCAUGCUUCAUUGGAGAUGGAGAACCCCUCUAUUUUGGAUUUCUUAGAUGUUCUUCUUUGUGGUUAGCUUGGCUUGCUUUUGUAGGCUAACCUUGUAUAUGUUUGGUGCUUGUUUUGUGAUGUUUUGUGCAUACUGCCUAUAUACAUAAGGUGCACCCUUCUUUUUGGCCCUUCUUAAUACAUGCUUUUGUUGUCUAUCAAAAAAAAAAAAUUGUGGCUUAAGUUUGAUCAUGGCUUUCGUGACCUUAUUUCAGUUAUAAAAAAGUAUGCAAGCCUACCAUUGUGGGGACAUGAGGUCUUUUUGUUUGUGCAGAGGGAUAUGAUGUUCUCUUUUGUUACAUGGGCUUGAGUGGCCUUUUUUUUUUUUCAUUUUUGUUCCCCAUUGGAAUAUGUUGUUCAUUGUUUUCAUGGCUAUAAUUUUGAGGGCUAGGGUUGGAGAAUGCACUAAAAAUAUUUGAAGUACUGCAGACUCAAAUCUGAGUGUAAUGCAUUCUUUUGUGCUAUUUGGAAAGAUUAUGAUGAAUCAAAUGCUUUCUAAUUUUAAAUAAAUCUUUUGGCCUUCAAUAUUAUAGAACAUGAGACCAUUUAUCAUGUCCCAAUGUAUUCCAACACUAGUUUCUUGUUUCCUGUCUUGUUUGAGUUGGUUUAGUGAAAAUGAAGAACAUUCUGAGAAAGGGGUAAUGAUUACAAAUCCCAAGUUGUCAGCAUUUAUUUUUAACUGGCUUUGAAGUUUUAACUUUAUGUGGAUAUAAGCCUACACUAAAAUAUUUUAAGCUGAUUGGCCCAAAUUUAUCUAGCCCAAGUGUGAUAAUUCCUUACUAGAGGCUUCUUAUGGUUGUAGCAAGGUAUCACUGUGGGAGUACAAGAAGCCUUCUUUGCUUCUGUGGAAGGAUAAAGUGUCCUUCUGAUACAUGGGCUUAAGUGGCCUUUUUUCAUUACAUUUUUACUUUUUUGUUCCCUGUUGGACCAUGUUAUUCACUGUUUAUUCAAGCCUAUACAUUUAUGGGCUAGAGUUGGAGAAUGCACUAAAAUAUUUGAAGUACUGCAGAAACAUAUCUUAUUGCACUCUAAAUGUUAUUUGGAAAAAUUAUGAUGAAUCAAAUGCUUUAUAAUUUAAAAUAAAUCUUUUGGCUUUGACUAUUACCGAGCAAUUAGAAUCUUAAAGGAGUUUCAAUUGUACAUGUAAUGUUGUUCUUAAUUGUGUUUUCUAAUUGACAGCAUCACCAUUUACUACUUUGCCAAGGAAGAGUCCAACUGUAGGUUUUCUCCACUAUUUCCUGAAGCCUAUAUGCCAGUGAGAAUCCCUUUUCAGAAAGGACCUGGCCAGAAAUUUCGUCAGCCUUCUGGAACUGGUAUUGACUUAGGCUUCUUUGAGUUGGAUGAUCUCUCGAAACCAUCACCUGGAGAAGAUGUAUUUCCUCUUGUCAUCUCUGCUGAAACAUCUCUCCCCCUUCAUCCAACUGAUGAACAUAGUGGUGAUCCUACGCCACGUACAUCCCCUCACAUGCAGAUUACUCAAGCUGUCCUAGAGAAGCACAAUGGGGACCCUUUCCAAGUGAGAGUAAUCAGACAGAUAUUGUGGGUCAAUGAGGUUCGCUAUGAGCUGCGUGAGAUAUAUGGAAUUGCAAGCUCAGCAUCAGAAGGCUUUAAUGACAAUGACUCUGGGAAGGAAUGUGUGAUUUGCAUGACUGAACCAAAGGAUACUGCUGUUUUACCUUGCCGACAUAUGGUAAGUCUCCACUAUAUUAUAUUGAAAGAAAUUCAGACUUAAUUUUAGGUUAGCAACUAUAUACUGCCUAUGCACUCAUAGGAUAAGGAGCUGUAUGGUUAAAAGUGAUAUGAGAUGGGCUCAAGCCCAAUAUGCUGGAGCACAUGUCUGAUAUUGAUGAUUUACAUAAAGGAAAAUCAGAGAGGAAAGAGUAGAUUUUACGUCAGUAUUCUUGACAUGUUGUCGAUCGCACAUGAGCUUGUCUCAUCUGUUCAUCUGUUUGCUAUUACUUAGACGCUACCUAGGAUUUCAUCUAGUCAGUCAUACUAUUGUUGUUUUCUGGUUGGUGAAGAAAGUCAGGUUAUUUAGAUGGCAUUCUGACUUUAGACUUGGAAUUUUGGAUCUUCCUUCUGUAUGAUUUUCUUUCAAUCAUUAUAAAUGAUGUAGAUUUAGCAUUUGGAGGACACACGCUCAUGCGCACACGCGUACACACACAAAUACAUAUACACACAGACUUACCUACAUGCAUCAACCUUUUGCAAUGCUUUUAUGUGAUAUUUAUUGUCCCUAGAAAGGCUAAUAUACAAGAUUUCCACUAUUUUUUGAGAGUGUCAUUUAUUAGCAAUUGUUUCAAUUCUCAGAAAAUAGUGGACUUCUAGUGGGGUGUUUAGGGGGGAAUUGUUUGGAAUACUGGAGGGCAAUAACUGAGAUGUUUUAACCAUAUUGGAGAAACUUGUGACAAUGAAUGCAAAUAACAAACUGAAAUGUCCUUUCUAUACCUCACCUGCUCUAUUUUCCACUGCUAAAUGUCGGUUACUUUUUUCUCAAGUUGAACAUGUUGCAAUUUUCAGUGUAUGUGCAGCGAGUGUGCAAAAGAAUUGAGGCUCCAGUCGAAUAAGUGCCCCAUAUGCCGUCAGCCCAUAGAGGAACUUAUAGAGAUUAAGAUUGAUAAUGAUCAGUAAGAGAUUCUUUUCUUAUAUGAUAGGAUAGCUGUAUUCUUUCUGCGUAUGUGAGUUGGCCUGUUAUGCCUGUUUUAUAUAUGUAUUCUAAUCUUUGUAUAUUGUUAAUCGUCUUUUCAGCUUUUGAAUCCCAAAGAUGUGCCCUGUAAAGAUGAUUGUGUUAAAUCCAUUCUUCCAGGAAAGAACUUGAAUUUUUAUUUUUUAUUUGUUCAAAAAAAGGCAAAAGCUUUAUAAUUCCCACCUAUGUACAAAUCUGUAUAUUGUCUUCUACAAUCUUUGAUUGGGUUCAUUUUUUAGUGCUCCUGCAAAGUGACUGGCUUUUUAAAUUAAGUUUGAAGUGUACGCAUCAUUGGUUGAAGAAGCCCUUUGUUGUUGAGGUUGCAUGUUUCUUUGAAUAAUCUUUCUUUUAUUAUAAACAACUCUACCUGUCAAUACUGAUUGAUGACAUGAUAUCUAUGCAAAUGCUGAAAUGCGUUUGAGUUUUCUUCAUUCCACUGCCUUUUCUUGUAUGACUGGGUCCAUGGUUGAAAUUUCAGCUAGUUUUUCAUCCUGGGGAAGGAAGAAUGGGUAUAUAUUUAUUUAUUAAAAGGGGGACGAAGAACCAGUAGUGAGUAUGGAGAUUCAAAAAGCAAUAAAGAGAACUUUGAAGGCUAGUAGACUGGAUGAACAUUCUAAGGAAUUGCCCUUUUUCCUUUGUUCUGCUAGCAGCCAAAAAGUGUGGCUGAGAGAGAAUAUUUGCUAUCCAGAAAAAAGAAAAAAAAGCAAGGGAAUAUUUGCUAUAGAAGUUAGCAUUAUGAUUUACAGAUUAAGAAUCUCGAAAGCGUAAGUGGGGCCUUGAGAGGUUUUUUGCUUGACAGAAAAGGAUACUAGGCACUGCAAUAAUACUAAUCAUUCUUCGUAUCUCUUGAACUUCCACCCACAUAUAGCUUUGUUGAUGUGAAAUGGAAGAGAUAAUGCCACAUCAGAUUUGGGAGUUUUGUGCAGCUAGCUUCUCAAGGAAGAGUGGGACUGCUCUCCACUUUUACUAAUGCAGACUCUUGUAAAAAGUCAUGGCCUCUGCAAAUUGGGGUAUGCAAAUUGUUUCUUGAGAUCUGUUGAUGACUAAGUCAUUUUUGGGUAUUUCCAGCAUCUUUUUGUAGCUUCAUUUGCACUAUCAAUUAGUGUAUUGUGGUUGUAUCAUGAUCAUAUGGAAGGCAAAAAGGGUAUUGAGCUGCCAUUUGAAAUGUAGGGUAUUUUCAUAUUACUCUGUUCCUUGCAUAUUUUUGAAAAUUCUAGGAGAAAAGCUGAAUGUUGAAGUUAUAGUAGAAAACCCAGUUCUGAUGAAGACUAAUGGCUCUGACCAGGGCUUCAACAUAAACCCAGCUUCUUGAAUGGAUGGCCAAAUCCUGGGACCACCCCAUUCAAUUCUUGAGGAUGUGACAGCUUCUUAAAUGUAUGCUUGAGUGUACACACCCUUACAUUAAAAGUUAUAUUCUUAAUAGCUCUUAUAUUAGUAUGGUUGUUAAAGUGACCGGGUCAUUUGCCUCCCUGUUUUGCCUCUUGAAGCACUCUAGCCUCUUACGUGAAAACUGGCGAAGAAGCUAAGCAAGUGGUGAUGAAAGAUGUGGGUAUCAUUAGUAGAAAGAUUUAUUCAUUUGGGUUCAUCUAGCUUGUCUGGUUGCAUUUGGUUUAGGUGCGUGUGGGGCUGUCGAAUUCUUGGAAUGAAUAAUAAGAUUUGGUGGAAGGAAUCACUACUUAGUAAAUAUGGAAGGAGUUUCAUCUACUCCUUUCCGGUUUAGGCUUUGGCUUCAUUUGCUUGCGGAGAAUUGGUAGUAAAAUCCAAUCCCAGACUUGAAAAAUUGAAAAUUCUUGCAUUUACUGCAUAAUUGGUUUUCUUGAAUUUGAGGUCUGUAAGUUACAGACCCACUACUAAUCCUCUUCAACAGAAAAGAAAAUAAAAAAGUUUGGAGGUUUUUCUUCAAAGGUAGAUUUUUUCUAUUUUUUGGUCUAAGUUUGAAGGGUGUAUAAAAUUGAAAAUAACUCUUGUGAUUAUGGGAUACAGCAGGAGAAAGAAAAUAAAAGUAAAGAGAAAGAAAACCAAUGGAAAGGUUUCCCAAGUAAACAAAACUUUCUGCCUCAUCCUUUACCAAAAAUUUGCCUAUAAAUGCAGAAAUCUAGAGUUGGGAGGAAGGCAAAGUGCAGGGGCCAUGUGAAGAUGCAUGUAAGUAUAAAUGAGGGUUAGAUGGUUAUAAAUGAAAGAUCUCCUCAAUCUCAUAUAUACCCAUCACUGCCCAUGGACCCAUGUUCUGCACAUGUGAUUCCUUGCACAUACAUGGUAAACCCACUGCAUAAUUGCCCACAUUUCCUCUUGAGUCCCAUUCACACAAAAAGGCAUCUACCAUCUACCCCAAAUCUAUUUAUACCCUAUUUGAUUUUUUUAUUUAUUUAAAAAAACCCCUUUUUGAAACAACUUUGAUACAAAAUCAAUGCAUAUUUCCUGAAUUAACUUUUCAUUUCCAUUUAUAUUCUAGGUUUGAGAAACAUAUUAGCUGGCCAGAGCUGGCUGGGAAUGUAGCUAAGCCAAUGAAACACUGAUUACCAAUUAACCUAUGAGGCAGAUUAGUAACAAUAAAUGGGGGCUGAAUGGUCAUCUGAUCCAGCAACCACCCUUCUGAUCCAAGCCUCUGCUUAAAGUAGACCAUGCUCUCUUUUGCCUAAACCAGGGUAGGAAAGCCAUUAUGUUUGGGCCCUUUGUCACAUUCACAUUCCUUUUACAAGCAAAGUGGGGACUGGGAAAUAAAAAAGAUAGAAGGACAAAGCCAUGAGGGUUUCAUCACUGGUUAGACUUUUAAGGAAGACAUCAAUAUUUUGCUUGUAAAAGAAGAGCCCAAUGGCCAUUGCAAACCUUGAUUUAUCUUCAUUUGAGGGUUAGUUUUGGCUACCUUUCUCCCCCUAAUUUCUAGUAAAUCAACACUUGAUUGGACCCAAUGGGCUUUUAAUAUAGUUGAGAAGGUAUCCAAUACCUCUAGUGUACCAUGUGAUCAGGCUGGCAUGGUACAACCAAACAAGGCUCUUUGUCAUUUGUCAAUUGUUAAUCUAAAAUUCAGAAAGUUAAAAGUAGUCAAUUAAAUUCCUACUAAAAGGGAAAUCUUAUUAAAUAAUUUCUACUUCCAUUUUUUUUUUCAAGAUCAAACUCAAUUAUUUUUUUUUUUCUUGUCCUUCUCUUGGGUGAACACCUCCUACCAACACCCUUUCUAUCAUGUGUCAAUAAAUUAAAAAUUCAAAAAGUUAAAAUUAAUUAAUUAAAUAUAUAUAAAUGAUGACUAUUUGAAAUCUAACCAUAUAAAAAGAAAAGGAGAAGAUAUUUAUAACCUAAUUUUCUAAGAGGAAGCCUUUGUUUAUGUCAUUUUCUUUGAAAAGGAUCUCUCAAAAGAAUUGAAAUAUGAGUACCAAGAAGAAAGAAAAGAAAAUGAGAAAACUUUUGCAAUUUGAUUUUCUAAUGAGAAGCUUUUGUUGGAUGUCAUAGUUUCUAAGCUAACUAACAUGAUCUUUUUCAAUUAAGCAAGCUUUUAGCCAAAUUAGAAAUUGCUGCCUUUUCUUUUGAAAAAUUACUGAAAGGGUGUACGGUUCUCAUAGAUGGUUGAAUUUUCUUUCAUUUUGUUCAUUUAAUUUCAUAUAUCAAAGUGGACCUAGGCCUUCUAAAUCAGUCUCCUGCUAGGCAGCUUUAGCUGGAAUUUUUGUUUUUUUUUUUUUUUUUGUUUUUUGGUCUAGUGUGUUUUAUGUGGAUUUGGAAAAUUAUCAUUACAUUUACUAAAGAUGUAGUGUCAUUUCGAACAACACUUUGGAUUUUAUAAUUUUAUUCGAGCUUAAGUUGUCCUUUUUUAUUAAUUGAUUAUUUUAUUUUAUUUUAUUUUUAAAAACAACCAUAUUAGAUGGAAUAAGAUAUAUGUUUAAUGACUUAAAUUAUGUUAUUAAGUUUGUUUGGUAAAUGGUUUCAAAACGUUCUUUGAGUUUUUUUAAUUAGAAUCAACAAUAAGGUUAGAAAUGAAACGAGAAAGAUAGUGGAAAUCCAAAGGUUAGAAAUGAAACGAGAAAGAUAGUAGAAAUCCAAAUGAAAAACCUAAGGAUGUCAUUUGGUUGGGAUUUUAUCAUUCUUUUAAGGUAAAAAAAUUAAGUAUUUGUUAACUAUGUUUUUAAUUUUUUUGAAUAUUAAAUAUGUUUGAUAAUUAUAAUUUAUUAUUUUAGUUUUAAAAAUAAAAAAUAUGUUUAGCAAUUAUAUGACAACAAAUUAGAUAAAAAAUCUAUUUUUUAAAUGAUUUUUUUUUCAAAGAAAAAAAUAGUUAAUUUAUAAUUAAAAUUGAAAAUUCAAAUUUUGAUUUACUUAGAAUUAAAUUUGUAUUUUCAUUGGAUUCAGAUGUGGAGUAUUAACAUUAUAAGCUUAAAUUAAAUGAAGAUAUAUAUACAACUAAUCUUUAUAAAUUGUGUCAUUAAGGUAUACGAGCUUGAAAGGGGACUAUUAGGGACUGUAGAUAAAUACAUGCUCCCUUAAAAUUCAACUCUAAAAUUGAUUCAUCAUUACAUUAUAAAAAGUCAAUUGCACUCCAAUAUCCUAUAAUAUUAUAAUAAGAUGAAAGAACUUGAGUUUAUGACCUAUUAUUCACUCCAUAUAGACACCUUAUGAAUUAAUAUUCAUAAUCUAACAAGGUAAAUGUAGAAAAUACAUGGAUUACUUUAUUCCCAACCUCGGAUCUUUUAGGAUGCACGUAACUAAUCUUAGGGCUCUCUAAUUUAAACACAAUGGAAAACAUGUCAAACCUAAAUCUAAAGGUUAGGGGUGCUUCACCUUAAAUUUAGAUGUUUCUAGAUCAAUUCCAAUUCAAUAAAGAGACUUUGUAGGUUUCACAAGUCUCAUAAACCAAACAACCUUCCACUUGCUUAUUCUUUCUAAUGAAUCUAGACAUUAAAAACAGGGUGGUUUUCUCCCUAGAGGAAGAGGUUGGGAUUUCUUUCUAGAAUCUAAAAAGACAAGCAUAAUAUAAAACCUUAAUCCAUAAUAUAAAACCUUAAUCCCCAAGGGGGUUUAUAUAGACUUCUUAGUGGGAUUAAGUGAAACUUUGACUAAGAUCACUUAAUCUAGACUACUUGAGUCCUAAUCAAUUAAUUAGUCUUAUUUGGGUUCCAAUUAAUUAAUUAUCUUAGUCUAAAAAUACCAUUCAUAAAAUCCAAUGCAACCUUUUUUUUUACCAUAAUGCCCUUAUGCACACAUAUGAAUUAGACACCCUAAAAUUCCCUAAAAAAUUAUGUCACAAUGAAUGAAAAGCUCGAGUGAAGACCAUUAAGACCCAUAGGAAAAUACUAGCUCUUUUAAAAUCAAAUUUUGCAGUUGAUUCAACAUUCUAUUAUAAGGAGUUAAAUGCACUUCAAUAUCUUAUGAUAUUACAAUAAAAUACAACUUGUGUCCAUGAUAUACUAUUUAUUGCAUGCAAACUCUUUUAUUGGGCUCAAGUUACUUAAGCCUAUUAGGGAACCUUACAAAUACCCUUUUAAGGGUUAGGUUUUUCAGAACUUUGCCAUAGAGUUGUCUUCCACCACCAGAGAGAAAGAGAAUCAUGGUUUCCAUCAUCUCCCCUACUUCCUCCCACUUGAAGUGUGCCAAGAUCAAGGAAGAGUCAUCAAACGACUAAGUCCAAUAUUAGUUCAAGUAACUUUUUAGGCUUAAAUCACUUAAUCCCACAAGUAAACCUAUAUAAACCCCUUGAUGGGUUUAAGUCUAGUAUUUUUCCAUUCAAUCUUCUAGAAAUUGAAACCCUUAGUCUUCAUCUCAUAGAGAUGAUUCUAUCAUCCUCACGUGUCAAAAUAAAAAUAAAAUAAAAUAAAAAGUUAUUAGGUGAAAUAGCUUGUGGUUUUCGAGAUUUGCAUUACCUCUUCUUUUACUGAAAUUGAUUUGAAAACAUCUAGAUCACAAUUAUUGCUUCUAUUCUCAUGGAUCUAUUUUUUAAAUAUCUAUAUGCUUUCAUUGCAUGGAUUUAGAGAAGCUUAGGAUAAUUUUUGCAUUCACCUUAAUGAUUUAGGGCUUAGGAUGGUUUACCUAGCCAUUCUUAUAGUAUUUUCCUAUGGUUUUCAAUGAUCCUUGCUCAAGCUCGUAUUCCCUUGUGGCACUUUAUUCUGAGGCCUAUUUGAGUUUUUUUAUUUAUGUGUGCAUAAGAACAUUUUGGUAAAUAUGUAAGGUCACAUAAGAGCUUAUGAAUGAUUUUUAUUGAGUGAACUAAUUAAUUAAUCAAAAUCUAAUAGAACUAAUUAAUUAAUAAGGACCUAGAGGGCUAUUUUAAGUGACCUAAACCUAAGACAAGUUCAAGUCAGUUAAGCCAAUAGGUAAAACCUAUAUAAACCCCUUUAAGGGUUUAUGACUUGUAUCUUUUGCUAUUCAAUCUUCCAAAGAGAAGAACCCUAACCUCUAUCCCCAUAGAGAGGACCCCACCAUCCUCAUUGAUCCAAGAAAAAGAGCUAUUAGGCGGAAGAUCGCAAGAUAUUCGUGAUCUAUGUUAAGCUCUUCACAAAUAAGAGUUUAUCUAGGACCAUCCAAAUCACAUGUGUUGUUUUUUUUUUUUAGCACCUAGAUUUAUUUUUGUUUUUGUAUGCUUUGAUUGCAAUAGAUCUAGUAUAUAUAGGAUAGUUUUUUAAUGCACCCUAUUGAUUCAAGGCUUCAAACGAUUUUUUCUAGUCAUUCCAACAAGACUAGUGUCCUAUCUAGGAGGCCUCCAAGAUUUAACAACCAGAAAUCUUGUCUAAGGUGUACUCCUUAAAUGAGGUACAAUACAAUUUGAACAAUAGGAAUUUUCUCUAAAAGACAAAAGAAUAGAAGGUCACUUCCAAAAAGGUUGCUAGAAAAUUGUAAUAGUAAAUAUGGUUGCAAGAAGACAAUAGUAGUGCUAUGGUGACUUGGUUGCAACAAUGCUAUGAUGUCUCGACUAUUGUAAUGUUAUGGUGGCUCAACUAUAAUUGUGUCAAUGGGACAAUGAUAGAUCAUUGCAGUUGUUUAAGAUUGCCAGAUCGGUUGGAUUGCAUUAGUGAAUCAAAUAAGAGAUUGCAGUAGUCGCUCGAAACAGAGAAUCAAAAAUUAAAAUGAUGGAUUAUAAAGCAGGGCCACAACGAUUUGUGUGAUGGAUUGUAAAAAAGGACGACAAUAGUCAGCAAUUAAUAAAGAAGUCGUUAGAAAUAGAGACAAAUAACAAAUUAAGAAACAAAAUAUUUUUUUGUGGACUCUGAGGUAGGGCUUUUAUAUGUAGAGUUCUAACACGACUCUCUUAUAGAAGUUGAACAACUCAAAAUGUUUAAAUGAAAUUAACUUAAAUUAAUUAAAUAUGGAUUUAACGAUUCAACUUCACUAAAACCUCUAAUUAGAGAAUGACUUAAUCAUACUUUAAUUGGGGAUUAAUUAGUUAAACCCAAAAUUAAAAAAAAAUGAUAAAAUUUAAUUACUUUCAACUUUGAAAAAUUCGUUUGGAAUUGUGCAUGUAUGUAGGGGGUCCUUCUACAUUUGAUGCAUGAGGACGAUGCACAUUAAGGUUUCUAGAUUGAGCCAACUAAAAAAUCCCACUAGAUGAGCUUAAGCCUCAUAGGUGUAUGAGACUCAAACUUCCCUUUCCACAAGCCCAAGAGACUAUGGAAGUAAGACACAAUAUAAGUUGCAAAAAGUUUCAAUCAUUUUCCAAUGUGGGAUUGACAACUUUAUGCACUUCAACACGAACACACACACAUGCACUUUUCCAAAAUACCUAACCUUAGACUUGAAGUUGUUUUAGGUCCAAUAGUGUGCCUUCAAACUUAGGUUUUGAGCUUUUUGAGCUUCAAGGCCACUUGGUUCCAACU